UUUGACAUGGACCUCAUGGAUAGGAAGUCGGAGGUGAAGCGCAUCAUAGAGGAAGUGAUCAACAGCAUGUCUGACGAUGAAGGCGAGGAAGAAAAUGAGGAGGAUGCAGAGGAGAAUGGCAAGAAGGGAGAAGAUUCAAAGGAGGAUCCUGAUGAAGAGGAAGAGAAAUAAGCCAGACGUGAUCGACUGACCGAUCUCCUGUAUUUGUCGAGUGUUCUUCUUGUUGGUUGCUGGGGCUGUUCUGGCCUGUACAAUGGUGGCACCACAACAACCGUUUUGGUGGUGGUCUGGGCAGGUGCUAGACUGUUUGUUAGCCAUUUGAUGUGAUGGCCCUGCACUCCUACCUGGUUGGUGUGCUUGACUCUUGGUGUUCUUGACCUGUAGUCUCUUAGUUGCCGGUCAUGUACAAUAGCUGCUUGGUUAUAUGACUCUGUUCCUUUCUUAGGUAGCUAGCCCUGACUGUAAUUUGCAGCAUGCAUACUUGUCCGUGUUCUGUUCCUUGCAUUUUAUCCAUGUAAAACUGUUGUAUUCUUGUGGAUUUCUUGCUUGCGCCGUCUGCAUUUCAUCAUGCCUUUUCUCACCAUGUGACAAAUUGUUUUGAGCUAGUAUUGUUUUUAAUGUGGCUGUAGUAUGCGAAAAAUCCCUUUUGGAGGCCGAGCUCCAAUGAGGCUAGCUUUUGAAAAAUUCAAAAUUCAUUAAAAUUCAUUCAUAUUUUUACAUUUCAAAAAAUUCUAAAGAAAAGAUAUACACGGAGAUAUAUUGCACAAGUGUGUAAAUUUUAAGGAUGAAAUUCGUUGGAAUGAGGGCUGUGCAAAAAAGACAAAUUUAGAACUUUUUAGCACAUGAUACAUCCUCAUAGGUCAUAAAUUUGUCUUUUUGUGCAGAUUGCAUUUUAAGGUAUUUCAUCCUGAAAAUUUACGCAUAUAUGCAUAACAUCCUCGUUUACUUGUACAUUUCUUUUUCUUGAAACUGAAAGUUUGAUUUGUUUUCUUCAAAAAAAUGGCCUCGAUGGAUGCGAGAGCCAAAAUGCCACACUCCUGUGGUAUGCCCUUUUGAAGUUGAUGGAAGUUCUGGCUCUAUGUUGAACAGGGAAAGGUGCCGGGUGUGAAAAUGAUGGAAAUCGCCAAAGAGAGUGGUGAAGUUUUUUACCCGGGUUCCAAUGAUCUCUGACAUUGGCUGGAUAAAUAAAGUUUGAAGGGACUUCUCGAGUAGGUAAUCUGUUUUAUCAGUCUCCACCAAAGAGAGUGGUGAAGUUUUUUACCCGGGUUACAGUGAUAUCUUGCUUGGGCUUCUCGAGGAGCUAAUCUGUUUUAUCAGACUCCACCAAUAAGUUGCAAUGACAACAACUAGCUUAGCAAUAAAUUGCUUAAUUAGUGACCAACAUGUUAGAUACUAUGUAGUACUCCCUCCGUAAACUAAUAUAAGAGCGUUUAGAAUACUAAAAUAGUGAUCUAAACGCUCUUAUAUUAGUUUACAGAGGGAGUAGUAACGUGUCAGGAAUAGAAUGAUUGGUUGCAGCAAGGAUUUCAGUUUAUAAUAAACCAUGGUGAGCAAAACGAGGCUGCUUUAGAGAAAGGGCAAAGAAAAAGCAUGUGCAUUCCAUCCUCUGUAUUAUCACACCCAAAGCAGUUUUCAGUAAUGCGUUAGAGAAUUUACUUGCUCUCUUACCCUUAGAAAGCGCUUUACUAAGAAGCCUCCAAGCAAAUGUCUGUACCCAUGGCGCCAUGAAUUUGUCUUGCCAAACUUGGUUUAGAAGAGCAAUGUUUUGUGGAUGAACCGCUUUGGGUUGUUAUCUAGCCGAUAGCUCAAGGUUGUUGAAGCAAUGUUUAUAUGCACUUUUCGAUGAGAAAUUGCAUGCAAGUGUUAGUUUCCAAUUCAAAGCAUCUUGCACAACAUCAGAGUCAAAAGAAUAUUACUAGCUAUCUCAGGAGUGAACGGGGAGUUAUUGUAUCAACAUUCCAAGCUUUUUGAUCUGGCAACCAAAGAUCUUUAACAAUAGCGGAACAUCAUAACAUCAUCAAUGUAUAGAGGCAACCAUGGUAGUGCAACUAAGGCAGGAUCUAAUGGCUUGCCACUAACAAAAUGAAGAAGCUUAUUGGAUGCGUUUGGUAGACUGCACCUUUUUUUGCCCCAUUGCAUGUUGACUCAACUGAACAGUUUAUGCCUGCUAUUUUGUGGCCUGCAUUUAUGCUUCAGGGUGAGCAGAUGCAAACUACAACAGUUUGGUUGUGUGCACUGUGUUGUUCUGCUCACCCCUUUCAAAUGUGGUGUGCUUAUCCACCAAUUGGACUACACUUCACAACAACACAUCACGUAUCAAGCAGGAACACAAUUAAAAUACCACGCCUACUCAUUAUUAGCAUGCAACUACAUAGUUCACGGUGCAACUAGAACAUCAAUUUAACACAACAGGGGCAUCACAUGCCCCUAGACAACCCCAAGAUGCUGAUCCCUAGGCAGAAUGUACACCUGACAACAAAAGAUCAAAGUUCACACAUACACGCUUUAGAUAGACGGUUCGAGCAAGAAGAAGAGCACGAGCAAUGUCACCCUAGCAGCAGUGCUUGGUGCACCUGACCUUGCAGAUGGUGGAGUUGCCGGCGAUUUAGAUAUUGACCUUCAAGCCCAGGCCCAACAGCUUCAAGACUAACAGACCACAGAGGGCGAUGAUGUGCUUUUAACAAAAGUAGUUCCAACCCCUCCCCAGCAACAUCUGCUCGUGGAAGAUCUGCACAUAGACCCAAAACUCGCACCAUUUGUUUGCUAAGAGCUUGACAAUGCAAGGAGGUUUUAGGACGAGCCAUCGUUUCAUCAGGGGCAGAGUCGAGGAUGACAAAAAUGGCAAUGUCCUUGACGUUCUUGAUGGACACAUAGACUUCAGUGGCUCGCGUGUCCCCUCCUCAUGGCCAAGCCUAGACAUGCGGCCAAUCCCUAGCGACUUGCUCAUCUCAGCUAGUUUGCCCAACACCAUCACUGUUUUCUGCAAACCGAUUCACCCGCAUGAUGUACUUGUCCCCUCGGCGCCAUUAACGACCAGCCUGGUGGGGGCCAACGAUGCUGAUAGGCGGCCCAACCUUGCCCGUCAUGGACCCCUGAGGUAAACUGCCCGGGUGCACGCUGUCCGGGCAUAUCAGACACGCAGAGAGCUGUAGGGAGCCACCCGCAUCACGCCGAUGCCAGGACACGCUAAAGCCCUCCUCGCGCAUGGAGACUCCCAGGAGACAGGUACUCCAUUAUCCUUUGUAGGAGUAAUGAGACACUUACGAUUUGAAUCCUCCCAUUUAGCCUUAACAUCACAGUCCCUCAUAAUCUCCAUCACCUUCUUUAGGUGCUUCAGGAGGACCAUUAAGGAGAACAUAAUCAAUAUUCAGCAAGGCAAAAGUAAUCUCAAGCUUUUGCUUCCAUGUAGCAUAGUUGCUACCAUAUAAUUGGUCUAUAUUGUUAAGCAUUCCAGCAAUAUGAGAGGCAUUAGAUGCUGCAAAAAGAAUCAAUGUUUUAAUGAGCAUCAUCAUCAUCAACUUGUUUUAGUGACCAAAUUCAAAUAAGCUUUGACCCGAAAUGAGUAUGAACAAAAAAAAUGUGGACAAGUAUUUAUUAAUCAGCUUUGGCCAGAGUAAUAAAUAGAAGCCACAUUUUAUUAAAUCCUUAUGUAUAAACUUCUUUUAUCAAUCUUGUUCAUAUCAGCUUUGGCCAGAAAUGGGCAUAAUUAAUAAAGUUUUAUGAUGCUCGUCAUUUUUUUUGUGGGUGGAGAACGUUAAUUUUACAGUGGAAACAACCUAACAUAACAACAGUCCUAAUAAAAUGCCACAAAAGAAUCAAGAAAUAAUAAUAAAUGCAUUCAUAUAAUCAGACAUGGCACGUAAAAGCAUGAGGAACAGUAAGAUGUAAAGGAAUUAUGUAACAUUUUUAACAAGCAUAACCAAACAUGCAAAAGUUAAGCCCUGAAACUUAUUUAUUUUAGUUCAGAAGAAUAAACUUAAAAUAAAAAAGACUUUAGAUUAUUCUCAGUGAAUCUCAGCCUAUGUACAUAUUCAGGCCAUUACAUGAAAACAUGCAAAGGUCACUCCCACAUUUUCAGUUUUGCGCCACUUGUCAUACCCAGAGAGUUUUCUCUUUUUUCAUAGAUUCGAAUAUGUAUACACCCAAAUCCCGAACCAUCUUCACCGUUGGAUUACUAGCAUCGAGAUCAUCAAACUAGAUCCCAUGUUAAUAUGUUUCGACGAUCUAUUUUUCUCUGCAAAUAAACCGAAAGAAAAACUGUGCCUCCCGCGAAAAAAUAACGUGUUUUUCCCUUUCAGAGAGGCACACCUCUCGUGUAUGCAAACCUGUGCAUCCACGAGAAGCAGAUCCGUUACUCUCGCGGAAGAAAAAAAACACGUUUUUCUUUUUCUUUUUCGAGAGGCACAGCUGUGCCUCUUGCAGAAGCAAAACUGUGCCUCCAUGAGAUGCAAGUGUGUGCCUCUCGCGGAAGAACAACAAUGUUUUUUUCUCUUUCCGAGAGGCCUCCACGAGAAACAAAUCUGUACCUCUCGCGGAAGAAAAAAUAUUAUAUUUUUCCUUUUUUGGUGAGGCACAUUGGGCUUCCCUUGGAAGCAAAUAUGUGCUAUUUGUGGAACCAAAAACACCAUUUUUCACGCAAUUAUUUGUCCAAAAUCUAGAGAAAACCAGGGAAAAACUGGAAAAUAAAAACCAUCUAAAACCAGAAAACGCGUACAGAAAAAUAAAAAACACAAAAUCCUGAGGAGGUGCCCAACAUUCGAUAUGUGACGGCGGCUGAGAGCAUGCAAAUGGGCACGCUCUCAAACCGCCAAAACUGACUCUUGACAAGCUCCCGCAAGGGGUAUACCUCAAUUAGUUGCUCUCCCUAUGUCUCGCUUCUAGCGAGACGUAGGGAACCCUCACGUCAAGCCUAGCGCGACAUGGGCUGGCGCAGUGCGCAGAAGUGCACUGCCACGUUUUAUUUCUGCUUUUUCUUUCACUUUUUUGUUUUCAUUUUUUCAUUUAUUUUUUACUUUUGUUUACAUUUCCAAAUGUUAUAAACAUAUAUAUUCAAAAGUAUACUUUACAUAAUGUUUUGAAAAAUAUAAAUCAUGCAUUUGAAAAAAUGUUAAAUAUGUAUGGAGAAAAUGUUGACCAUGUAUAUGAAAAAUGUAUACAAAAAAUAUAGAUCAUGUAUUUAAAAAAUGUUAGUCAAGCAUUUGAAAAAUAGUUAAACAAGUAUAUAAAAAAUGUUAAUAAAUAUUUCAAAAAUAUUAAAUGUGUAUAGAAAAAUGCUGAUCAAAUAUUUAAUUAAUAUUAAUCUUGUGUUUGAAAUUUUUUAAUCAAGCAUGUGUAAAAUGUUAGAUGUGUAUAGGAAAAAUGUUGACCACAUAUUCAAGGAAUGCUAAAUGUGUAUAGAUAUUUUUUGAUCACUUAUUUAUAUAACGUUAAUAUUGUAUUAAAAAAUGUUAAUACAUAGAAAAAAUGCUGAUCAUUUAUGAACAAAAUGUUAAUCCUGUAUAAUAAACAUGUUAAUAAAAUUAUUUAAAAAAUCAACUGUGUUUAAUAAAUAUUAAUUGUUGAUUAAAAAUGUUAAUUUUGUAUUUGCAUAAUAUUGAAGAUGUAACAGAAAAUUGUACUAUCUAUAUUUUAAAACAUAAGUCAUUUUGGUAGGCUAUUUUAGCCAAAUAAAUAUCUUAUAUUUUAAAACGGAGGUAGUAUUAGACUUAGGCCAGAAAUAUACUCCCUCUGUUCCUAAAUAUAAGUCAUUUUAGAUAUUUCAAAUGGACUACAACAAACGGAUGUAUGUAGACAUAUUUUAAAGCAUUGAUUCACUCAUUUUACUUCGUAUGUAGUUACUUAUUGAAAUAUAUAGAAAGACUUAUAUUUGGAAAUGGAGGGACUAUAAUAUGUAUGAGAAAAAAUUAGACAUCAAAAAAUGUUUCAAAUGUAUACCAAAAGUGUUAAUAAUAUAUUUAAUUUUUAACCUGUAUAUAAAAUAGUUUUCAGAUGUAUAACAAAAAUGUUGAAUGUUUAUGAAACCAAGAAAAAAAACAAAGAAGAAAAAACAUAGUACUAGUGAAAGCGAAGAAAGAAACAAAUAAAAAUUGACAAAAAACAAAAAAAUAGUGAAAACCGAGAAAGAAACACAGAAACCCGAUGAAAAAGGAAAAAGAAAAACAGGAAACCAUGAAUAAAUAAAAGAAAAGAAAGAGAAUGAAACCCAGCGAGCGGGAUGAACGAACCAACGAACUCGAAGGAAUGGAAACCGAGCUACUAAGCGAACCAAUAUGUGGUUGAAUGGUUAGGAGAACAAUGGUAUUCUCAGCCCAUCAGGAUUCAAGUCCUGGUGCUCGCAUUUAUACUGAAUUUAUUUCAAGAUUUUCAGUGAUGCGCGUUCAGUGUGUGGAGACGUUUUCAUUGACUACGAUGCACCUACGAUAACUUUGUAAAAUCUCAAGGUCGGAACUAGCACUUGCGUGAAGCGAGAUUAUAAUAGCUGCCGCUAUUAACCCCUAGGCCUGGGCGGCUGCGCCGCCGGGAAAUCGCGUUCCCGCAGUGGCCCACCGGACCAACGCGGCCGCAGGAUAUACCGCGAGCCGUCAGAUGGCGAUCUGACGGUCGAGCGCGCGCACGGCUGGAACAAAACUCUAGCUCUCUCUCAUGAGCCCUGCCCUCUUGUCUCGUACCGAGACGAUCCGAUCGAAUUUUCUCUCCGAUCCGCUGGCGCAUCAAGUGGCAACGAACGAUCGAUCGACCGAUCGCGUGAGGCGCGUACGUACGUAGCGCAGGACGUGGAUGCCUCUUCGCCAGUCCGCGACUGACCCCCGACCGUUUAACGCACGCAGAAGAGAGACGAGCGAAUGAUCCGCAGAGCUAGCCGGCCGGUCAGACACGCGAUCCUUGAUCGAGACGGACGAGGACGAGGACGGCACACAUGCGCAUGCGCCGUGACGUACGCCCGCAUACGGGCCAAGAGCCCAGCAGCUCCGACACAGCUGCAAGAGGGGACGGACGGACGGACGAGAUCGACGGUCGACAGCAAUCGAGCGCGCUGACCUUAUUUGAAGUUUGAAUACUGCGCUAGCUGGGCGAAAUACCUACAGUAGACAGUAGUACAUAGCUUGAGAAAAGCUUGUUGAAAUGUGAGAUGGGCCUAGAGCCCAUAUAACAAUUUCAGAUUUGAUCUCUAAGGGCCCAUGUAGGUGGCAUGACAAGGUGGUGGGAAGUUUAGUCCCACCAUGCUAGUGGAAGUAAAGUUGGAGUGGUUUAUAAGGGUGACUCUUCUACGUGCUAUUGGAGCUUGAGAAGAGAAGAGGCCCUCGCGCGCUCCUCCUCCGCCGUUGCGGAAAUGAGCCGAGCUCACACCUAUGCGCUUAUUUUUGCCAGUCACUAACGGAGAGGUUCUGACAGCAGGGCUACGAUCCGAGACGUCGGAUCGUGGGCUGUCACGGACUCGGACGUGGGUCAAGCCCACGUCUCUCCACGCGGCUGCGUCUAUAUAAGUGUGUUGUGUCCCCUAACCCUAGCCGCCACGAAUAGAUCACAUCUGCUCACGCGCACGCCCACCGUCAUUCCUUUGCUGCUGCUGCCGCCGGUGACUCCAUCCCGUCCGCCGGGUACACGGUCGACGGGAGAGCAGGUCUCCGAAACCACGCCCUUCUGGUUCCUGUACGGGGUGAGGGGCGAAUAGGUUUUUGGGCAGUGAUUACGCGAUUGCUCGCUUCCGAUCGUCUACUUCCUCUACGUCCGCGUCGCCUUCAUCAUCACCAUGUCCACCGACCCCGACCGCGUCGUCGCCGAGAAAGCUGAAGCCGACAAGAAGGCCGCUGUCGUGGUUCUAAGUCUGACAGUAGAAUGGGGGGUAAGUAUGGAAAGGCAAGGUCCUAGCUAUGGAGUAGUUGUACACACGGGUGUUUAGCGAGUUCAGGCCCAUUUCGGAGGAAGUAACAGCCCUACGUCUCGGAGCCCGGAGGCGGUCGACUGAUCUCUGUGUAUAUGAGUUACAGGGGUGCGAACCCUUCUACCAGUGGAGGGGGGUGGCUUAUAUAGAGGUCGCCAGGACCCCAGCCAGCCCACGUAGAGGAGGGUUAAAGUACAUUAAGGUCGGGCGUUACUGGUAACGCCCUACAUAAAGUGUCAUCAUGACCAUUAAGACUACUUAAUUACAGACCGUUUGGAUACAGUAUAUGUCUUGAACUUCUGAUGGUCGAGUGUGUCUUCAUGGUCGAGUGGAGCUUCUCUUGGUUGAGUGGAGCUUCUCUUGGUCGACUGGAAGGUAGCUUUGUGUGAUGAUGUCCUUGGGUAUGGUAUCCUAGAUAGGUCCAUGACCCUACCCUAGGUACAUAACCUCAUCAUUAGUCCCCGAAUGGAUCGAGGUUCGAGUGAGGAAGGAGUUGACGAUUUUCUCCGACUUAUUUACUGUACUUUGAUUAUGUCGUAUCUUGGAUCGGCGAUUCUUCUUUCGGCGUUGGCGUCGACUUUUACUUCAGUCGCCUUGAUCCAUUCCUAUCUUUUGUCGAGUGAACUUUUGAACUCCGGUGAUCUUCCGAGCGACGGAUCGCGGGAAGGAUAUCGUCUGACAGAUUGAUCUGCUGUUAGCGGAUUUUGCGGGAUCUGAAAUUUGGGAAGCGCGCGAAGCGGGGCGAUCCGCGGCAAUCGGGCGGGAUAAAGCAUGGACGCCUCGAUUUCCGCGCCGCCUUUUUCGCCACGUAUCGUACGUGUGCGACUGUUUCGGGAUGUGACAGAUCUGCUCGGACCCACUCGUCAGCCACUCGGAAGCGCCCUUAUAUAAAGCGCCGGGGAAGAGUUUUUGAACAGUGCCUCCCCAUUCUCCUCUCUUCCCUCUCUGCCUCCGCCCACGGCGCCUGCUCCUACCUCUGCCUUAUCCACCUCUCGAGCGCUUCGCCGGCGAUAAUGGUGAAGGAGAAGACGGCGGCUCUAGAGCAUGCGAAGAAGGCGACGGCGACGGGGCAAGCGAAGGGGAGACCGUCCAGUCGGGGCGGAUCUUCGUCGAGGUCCCGCCUGCCGAAAGGUUGGGUUCAAGGGGAUUGGAUCCGCUCGACCAUCACUGAGAAGGACCUCGACAACCUGGCCAAUGAGGGACUGAUCCUCCACGGGUCAGCGAGGCUCCCGGGGUCCGAGUGUCAACCGCAGCCGCAGGAGGGUGAGUGCGUUCUCUUAGCCACUCACGUAGAUCGUGGUUUUUCUCUGCCGCCGAGUGUGUUCUUCCGUGGGUUUCUGAAUUUCUUUGGGGCGCAACUCCACCAUUUCAAUCCCAAUUCCAUCGCCUAUCUUGCUGCCUUUGUGUCCAUGUGCGAGAACUUCCUGGGUUGUCGACCGCACUGGGGGUCUCUUCAAGCACAUAUUCACCUAUCGGUCGCAGACAGUAAAAAAGGCGAGUCCAGGUGAUGAGAGGACCAAGGUUAUUCAGAUGUGCGGGGGUCUUGGGAUUCAGUUGAGGAAUAAGAGCACUUUCCCGGCCAUGACCCUUCCUGAGUCGGUCAGAGGGUGGCAGUCGACUUGGUUCUACUGCCAAGACCAGUCGACGCCGGGGCAGUUGACUGGUCUCCCUCCGUUCUCCAUGGACCGAGUGGACAAACCGUCUUCUCUGAAGGUGCUUCCUGAGGAGAAAGCCAAGGUAAAAAUGUUGGUGGAGCGCAUGGUUCAACUCGUUCGGGACGGAGUGACGGGCAUGGAUCUUCUGGAAGUCUUCCUUAGGCGGCGCAUCCAACCGCUCCAGUACCGAGGCCACCCGAUGUGGCUGUACUACGGUACCGAAGACACCACUCGGGUCCAUCCAGAGGCAGUCGACGACGCCACUCUAGAGAGGUGGGUGACCGCCAUCACAGGAAAUAAGGACAACCCUCGAGGAGCGAGGAGGAUCCCACCACUCGACUGUACCUAUACGCCGGACAAGGUAUGGCCGCUUAUCUCCGAGUGUAAUUUUGUUUUAUCCAUUUUGCUUCGCCGUGAAUUGAUCGAGUGAUCUUCAUUUUGCUUUGUUGCUUGUCUGACAGGCCACCACUGAAUUGUACUCGAUGCCCAAUGGGGCGCAGACGCCGACUGAGGAGGAGGAAGGAAGCGGGGGCGAAAGCCCGGAGGAGUGGGAUUCGGAUGCUGACGACGACGACGAGGGUGACGACUCUGGUGAGGAGGAAGAAGAGGAGGAGGAGGAGGAAGUUGCACCUCCUCGCUCGGAAAGACGCUCGAAGCUUGCCCAUGAUCCAGCGACUGAGCGGGGUAAGGGGGUCGCAACCGCUUCUCAGUCGACCAAGCGCCCUCGGACCACUUCUCCGGCGCUGACUGAGAAGGCUCCGAAGCAAUCUCGAGUGGUACCGUCGAAGCCCGCAAAGGUCUUGCCGAAGAUGAAGAUGGUGAUCCCACUAUCUCAGGGUAAUGGUAGUUUUGAGCUUUCCUUGUUUCAUGAACUUGCUCUUGGUCGACUCAUGGGUCAAUCGACUAAUUUCUGGAACUGCAGCGCUGCUACUUCUGAUACUUCGACCAAGGCUGAAGACCACGAGAUGGAGGAUGCUACUACCUCACAACCUGGUAUGAUUCUUGUGAUGCCGUUUUCAGUCGACUGACUUAUUGUCUCUAAUUUUGAUUCUUUUUGCAGCUUCAUCUAACAUUGUUAUUGACCUUCCUGACGACGACGACGAAGAACCACCGAGGCAAAGGAGGAGCAAGAAAACGCCUGCUGGCAAGGCGACUCGAGAUGUGCCAGCACUCGAGACGUUGGUCGUGGAGGGAGACAAUGUCACUCGACCCACCGUAACCUUCGCGGUGCCGUUGACGAGUGCUCGCCCUUCGUCGUCGAGUGCUGCUCAACCCUCGCUUUUCUCCACCUACCCUAUUCCAUAAGACCAAGCCAGUGCUGCCAGAGAAGCGAUAUGCCAAGCGGGGGUCAUGAUGGAGCAAGUGAAGGCGAUACGAGAAGCUAGCUAGGCAGCCUAUGACGCCAGUUCAACUCUUCAGAGUAAUGUUCAGGUCAGUCGGUCACUGCCUGUUCUGUUAGGAUAUGAUAUCCGUAAACUCUUCUUUCUGCAAUUCUUAGAGUUUGUCCAGCACCCACUGGGUGUGUCGAAUGAAAUUCCGGGUUAGUGGGGGCACGCUGAGUGCACCCACUGGGUGUAGUCCCCAAGGCUAUGAUGGACUACUGGCAGUCGACCAUAGUCUUUAUGCUUUGAGUUUUUCUUUACUCGACAAGGUCGAAUAGAUUCAUAGACCGGUGGGGGCACACUGAGUGCACCCACUGGGUGUAGUCCCCGAGACUGUGGUCGACUGCUGGCAGUCUACUAUAGUCUAAAGAACAUUGCCUCUUUUUUGUUGUUGUUGUUGGUCGACUGGUCGACUCUUGAUGAAACUAGUGGGGGCACGCUGAGUGCACCCACUGGGUGUAGUCCCCGAGACUAUGGUCGAAUGUUUGCAUUCGGCCGUAGUCUUAGAAACGCUAUGAUUUUUCCUUACUCACUCGGAAGUGAAUUGUCUUUGACGUCUGUCGAUUGAUUCUUCGUAGAAAUCUUGUGACCUUGUGGCUCGUUAUACUGAGUUGGAGAACAAACACAUUCAGCUCGAGCUCGAUCUGAAACUGGCCCAAGAGAACUUGACGAAGGCGAAGGAGGAAGCUAAAGGUAUGCUUGGUGAGGCUUUUGACGACUGCCUUUGCCUCUCACUUGUUUCCGAAUCUAAUCUCACUGUAACUUUGUAGGCAAAGUGAAGGACGCCCUGAAGAAACAAGAGCUUGAGUUGGCUGAGAUGCAAAAAACUGCUUUAGAGAAGACCAGGCUAGCAGAUGAGAAGCUGGCUUCAGUGACUAAGCUUGAAGAAGAAAACACCAAUCUGAAAGCUGCUCUCGAUGCUGCCAACCAAGAGGUCACUCGACUGAAAAUCGACAAGACCACCCUGAAUGACAAGGCCAGUGAGUUGAAGAGAAAGAAGAAUGAUCUAGAGGCUUAUCUAGGUGGACUCGCUAAGAAGUUGUUCCUCAUGCUUGAAGGUAAUCCUUUGUAUCAAACAAAUAUUUUACUUGUGACCUCCGACUGUUUGUCUUGACUCGGUGGUUGUGCUUGCAGAAUUUUGUCAGAACUUUGAAGAGGAGACUGGUCGACUGGAAGUAAACCUGGACCCCAUCAACUCUCCUGUGAAAGAUGAAGUCGCCAUGAACGUGCUCCGACUUGAAUCUCGUGUUGCUGCCGUCAUCGAUUAUCUCGCAAGGCUGAAGGUCGCAACUUCCCACAUCGACACAACACUCUGGCCAAGAGAGACACUCCAGAACGACCUCGAGUCUCUGAUGACUCGACUGAACGAGGUCCCAAGUCGAGUGCAGGAGUGGAAGAAGUCUUCAGCCAGGUGCGGCGCGGAUGUGGCUCUGUCUCUGGUCCGCGUUCAUUGCAAGGAUGCACGAGAGGACAAGCUGGUGGCUCUUAGGGUGGCCAACACCAAGAAGCACGAUUUCAGAUCUUUCAUGGAGACUUUCAUUGCCGCUGCCACUCGGAUUGCAGAUGGAAUUGAUCUGGACGAGUUUGUGGCGCCUUCCAGCCCUCCACAGGAGGGGUAAAAUACUUCAGAGCUUGAUACUUUAAAUUUGCCUCGGUAUGCCGAGUGAGUUUUUUGUAACCGACAAACCUUAACAUGCCUAGCGCCUGAGCACUUUCGGUUCCGUUAGGUGUUAUCCGAACUUGGGUUCGUCACUGAAUACGCUUGCAUUUGGUUUGAGGCGUCCUUUGCAGGUUGAAGCAAAGCGCUUAUUGCCAUCGGCCUGCAUCCUAAUUCACUUAGAGUACUGGGCUGCAACUAAGUCCCCGAGUGAGAGGUUUGCCCUCCACUCGGUAGGAUUUUAAAUACUUAGGCGAGCACUGGGCUGCAGCUAAGCCCCCGAGUGGGAGGCCUACUCUCCACUCGGUAGGAUUUCAGAUACUUAGGCGAGCACUGGGCUGCAGCUAAGCCCCCGAGUGGGAGGUUUGCUCUCCACUCGGUAGGAUUUCAUUUACUUAGGCGAGCACUGGGCUGCAGCUAAGCCCCCGAGUGGGAGGCCUGCUCCCACUCGGUAGGAUUUCAGAUACUUAGGCGAGCACUGGGCUGCAGCUAAGCCCCCGAGUGGGAGGUUUGCUCUCCACUCAGUAGGAUUUCAGAUACUUAGGCGAGCACUGGGCUGCAGCUAAGCCCCCGAGUAGGAGGUUUGCUCUCCACUCGGUAGGAUUUUUGAAUUGGUGGCGCAGCUAGGAAGGAGAGGGUAGCAGUCGAUCUGCACCUCGUCCUCCUUGCAGAACACAUGUUGUACUUGUACUUAGGCGAGUUCUUGGACUGCAGCUAAGCCUCUGAGUGGAAGGCUGGCUUACCACUCGGUAGGAUUUUAUUUACUUAGGCGAGCACUGGGCUGCAGCUAAGCCCCCGAGUGGGAGGCCUGCUCUCCACUCGGUAGGAUUUUAUUUAUCUUAGGCGAGUACUUGGACUGCAGCUAAGCCUCUGAGUGGAAGGCUGGCUUACCACUCGGUAGGAUUUUAUUUAUCUUAGGCGAGUACUUGGACUGCAGCUAAGGCUCCGAGUGGAAGGCUGGCUUACCACUCGGUAGGAUUUUAUUUAUCUUAGGUGAAACGGAUUUCGCAGCUAAGCCUUCGUGUGGGAGACCGACUCACCACUCGGUUAGGAUUUGUUUUUACAGACUUAGGCGAAUCGGAUUCGCAGCUAAGCCACCCACUGGGGGAUUGUUUUAUAUGGACAAAAGUAAUAACAAUCACUGGGAAAGCUAUAAAGCUCUUGUCUUUGAUAAAUAAACUACAGGAGUACUUUUAUUACAACUCAUCCGAGUAAAUACUUAAGUGUAAAAGGGGCGGAGAAGCUCCGCGUUCCAAGCUCGGGGCUCGUCGAUCUGAUGCUCGACAUUGUAAAGACGGUAUGCUCCAUUGUGGAGAACCUUGGUGACGAUGAAGGGACCUUCCCAAGAAGGAGCAAGCUUGUGUGGUUUCUGCUGGUCCACUCGCAGAACUAAAUCUCCUUCCUGGAAGGCUCGACCCUUCACGUUUUUGGCGUGGAAGCGACGCAAGUCUUGUUGAUAAAUGGUUGAUCUGAUCAGAGCCAUCUCUCUUUCUUCCUCUAAAAGGUCGACUGCGUCCUGCCGCGCUUGUUCUGCUUUAGCUUCAGUGUAGAGCUCGACUCGGGGAGCGUUGUGGAGAAGAUCACUCGGCAAGACUGCUUCAGCUCCGUAGACUAAGAAGAAUGGAGUUCUUCCAGUCGACCGGUUGGGUGUGGUCCUUAACCCCCAAAGCACCGAGGGGAGUUCGUCAACCCAUGCACCAGCCGCAUGCUUGAGAUCAUGCAUCAAACGGGGCUUCAACCCUUUGAGAAUCAGACCGUUGGCUCGUUCUGCCUGUCCAUUUGACUGCGGAUGGGCGACUGAAGCAUAGUCGACUCGUGUGCCUUGAGAUGUGCAGAAAGCUCUGAAUUCUUCAGAAUUGAAGUUUGACCCGUUAUCAGUGAUGAUGCUGUGCGGGACUCCAUAUCUGAAUAUCAGUUCUCGGAUGAAGCUGACAGCGGUACCAGCAUCGAGGUUCUUGAUGGGUUUGGCCUCAAUCCACUUGGUAAACUUGUCGACCGCUACCAGCACAUGUGUGAAACCGCUUCUGCCUGUUCUCAAAGGACCGACCAUAUCCAAACCCCACACUGCAAAGGGCCAGACGAGUGGUAUAGUCUUCAAAGCUGAGGCGGGCUUGUGUGACAUAUUGGAGUAAAAUUGACAUCCCUCACACUUGUCGACUAUCUCCUUCGCCAUUUCAUUCGCUCUGGGCCAAUAAAAACCAGCUCGGUAUGCUUUGGCCACGAUGGUCCGAGAAGACGCGUGAUGGCCACAGGUUCCCGAGUGGAUGUCGUUGAGAAUCAUUCGACCUUCCUCUGGUGUUAUACAUUUCUGGCUGACUCCAGUCGCACUUUCUCUGUAUAACUGACCUCUCAUGACGGUGAAGGCUUUGGACCAGCGGACGAUCUCUCGAGCUUCUUCUUCAUUCUCGGGGAGUUCUUUCCUCAAAAUAUAGGCGAUAUAGGGCACUGUCCAAUUGGGAGUGAUGACAAAACUUCCAUGAUUAAGUCGACCACCGCUGGGAUCUCGACUUCAGUCGGAUCUGUGGCGCUUUUAGGCUGCGGGGCUUCUUCAGUGAAAGGAUCCUCUUGAACCGAUGGUGUGUAGACAUGUUCCAAAAACACGCCACUCGGAAUGGCUUCCCUCUUGGAACCUAUCUUCGCCAAGUCAUCGGCUGCUUGAUUUUUCAGCCGGGGAACGUGAUGGAGUUCUAACCCUUCGAAUUUCUUUUCAAGCUUCCUCACUGCAUUGCAGUAUCCAGUCAUGGCUGGGCUUCUAACGUCCCACUCCUUCAUCACCUGAUUGACCACCAAAUCUGAGUCGCCGUAAACCAUAAGGCGAUGGACGCCGAGUGAAAUGGCCAUGUGCAACCCAUACAACAGUGCUUCAUAUUCUGCUUCAUUGUUGGAGGAAUCAAAGUGAAUCUGGAGCACAUAUCUGAGCUUAUCUCCUUGGGCAGAAACCAAAACUACCCCAGCACCAGAACCAUUUAACAUCUUAGAGCCAUCAAAGAACAUGGUCCAAUGCUCCGAGUGAACUUGAGUCGGCUGCUGCUGUUCAAUCCACUCGGCAAGGAAAUCUGCUAUAGCCUGGGACUUAAUGGCUUUCUUUGCCUCGAAUUUGAUAUCAAGGGGAAGGAGUUCAAUCGCCCAUUUAGCCACUCGACCAGUUGCAUCUCUGUUGUGCAGAAUCUACGACAAUGGUGCGUUGCUGACGACUGUAAUGUCAUGAUCAGAGAAAUAAUGAGCAACCUUCUUCAUGGUCAUGUAGAUCCCAUAUACGAGCUUCUGAUAAUGAGCAUAUCUUUGCUUCGAUGGGGUCAAAACUUCAGAGAGGUAAUACACUGGGCGCUGAACUUUGAAGGCUUUCCCUUCUUCUUCCCGCUCUACCGUAAGUACUGUACUGACGACUUGUCCUGUGGCUGCAAUAUAAAGCAACAGAGGCUCUUUGCUGAUUGGAGCAGCAAGCACCGGCUGGGUGGAGAGCAGAGUUUUUAACUCGGCAAACGCUACGUCAGCUUCUGGAGUCCACUCGAACUUGUCUGCCUUCUUCAUCAGUCGGUAAAGGGGCAACGCCUUUUCACCGAGGCGAGAGAUGAAUCGACUUAACGCGGCCAAGCAUCCAGUAAGCUUCUGGACAUCGUGCACACGCACAGGGUGUUUCAUUCGGAGUAUGGUGCCAACUUUUUGUGGGUUAGCAUCGAUUCCUCGUUCGAAAACGAGAAAACCGAGUAACUUCCCGCCAGGUACUCCGAAUGUGCACUUUGAAGGAUUGAGCUUGAUAUCAUACCUCCUGAGAUUGGCAAAUGUUUCAGCUAAGUCAGUCAACAGGUCGGAACCCUUUCGCGACUUGACCACGAUAUCAUCCAUGUAUGCUUCCACAUUCCGACUGAUUUGAGUGAGUAAACACUUUUGAAUCAUUCUCAUGAACGUGGCUCCGGCAUUCUUGAGACCAAAUGGCAUGGUGAUAUAGCAGAAGCACCCGAAUGGAGUGAUGAAAGCUGUUUUGAUUUCGUCAGGUCCAUACAGACGGAUCUGAUGAUACCCGGAAUAAGCGUCUAGAAAAGACAAUCUCUCGCACCCUGCGGUCGAGUCGACAAUUUGGUUGAUGCGAGGGAGAGGAAAAUGAUCUUUCGGGCAGGCCCGAUUGAUAUGUUUGAAAUCAAUGCACAUACGAAGGGAAUUGUCCUUUUUGGGAACCAUAACGACAUUGGCGAGCCACUCGGAGUGGUAUAUUUCUCGGAUGAACUCUGAUGCAAGGAGUCGAGUCACCUCUUCGCCAAUGGCUUUUUUCUUCUGAACGACGGACCGUCGGAGAUGUUCUUUAACAGGUUUUGCCUUUGAAUCGACUCUAAGGUGAUGCUCAGCCAGUCCCCUGGGAACACCUGGCAUGUCAGCUGGCUUCCAUGCGAAGAUGUCCCAGUUCUCACGGAGGAACUGGAUGAGCGCUUCUUCCUAUUUAGAGUCGAGUGUAGUGGAAAUAUGGGUCAGGGCUGCAUUGGGGUCAGUCGGGUGGAUGUGAACUGGCUUCGUCUCCCCGGACGACUGAAAUGCUGACUCUGUGGCAGGCUUCUUGGCCCGCACUAAAUCACUCGGAUUUGCGUUCUUCUUGUAUCCCUCUAGCUCUAUCACUGUUAUCUGGUCAUCCGCAAUCUUUGAGCCUUUCUGGAAACACUCUUCUGCUUUCUUCCGGUUACCAGUGACGGUGAUCACGCCUUUGGGGCCAGGCAUCUUUAACUUGAGGUACACGUAACAUGGUCGAGCCAUGAAGCGGGCAUAGGCUGGUCUUCCCAAGAUAGCGUGGUAGGCGCUCUGGAAAUCCACGAUUUCAAAUGUCAGCUUCUCUUUGCGGAAAUGCUUCGAGUCGCCGAACACCACAUCCAGAGCUAUUUGGCCGAGUGACUCAGCCUUCUUUCCUGGGAUGACUCCGUGAAAACUCAUGUUGCUGGAACUGAGCCUGGACAUCGGAAUGCCCAUUCCCUUGAGCGUCUGUGCAUACAGUAUGUUCAACCCGCUGCCGCCAUCCUGUUGGAAAUAUGCCCUAGAGGCAAUAAUAAAAGCAUUAUUAUUAUAUUUCCUUGUUCAUGAUAAUUGUAUUUUAUUCAUGCUAUAAUUGUAUUAUCCGGAAAUCGUAAUACACGUGUGAAUACAUAGACCAUAACAUGUCCCUAGUGAGCCUCUAGUUGACUAGCUCGUUGGUCAACAGGUAGUCAUGGUUUCCUGAUUAUGGACAUCAGAUGUCAUUGACAACGGGAUCACAUCAUUAGGAGAAUGAUGUGAUGGACAAGACCCAAUCCUAAGCAUAGCACAAGAUCGUGUAGUUCGUUUUGCUAGAGCUUUUUCAAUGUCAAGUAUCUCUUCCUUAGACCAUGAGAUCGUGUAACUCCCGGAUACCGUAGGAGUGCUUUGGGUGUACCAAACGUCACAACGUAACUGGGUGACUAUAAAGGUGCACUACAGGUAUCUCCGAAAGUGUCUGUUGGGUUGACACGGAUCGAGACUGGGAUUUGUCACUCCGUAUGACGGAGAGGUAUCUCUGGGCCCACUCGGUAAUGCAUCAUCAUAAUGAGCUCAAAGUGACCAAGUGUUUGGUCACGGGAUCAUGCAUUACGGUACCAGUAAAGUGACUUGCCGGUAAGGAGACUGAACGAGGUAUUGGGAUACCGACGAUCGAGUCUCGGGCAUGUAACGUACCAAAUGACAAAGGGAAUUGUAUAUGGGUUGUUCGAAUCCUCGACAUCGUGGUUCAUCCAAUGAGAUCAUCGAGGAGCAUGUGGGAGCCAACAUGGGUAUCCAGAUCCCGCUGUUGGUUAUUGCCCGAGAGCCGUCUCGGUCAUGUCUACGUGUCUCCCGAACCCGUAGGGUCUACACACUUAAGGUUCGGUGAAGCUAGGGUUGUAUGAAUAUGAGUAUGCAGUAUACCGAAUGUUGUUCGGAGUCCCGGAUGAGAUCCCGGACGUCACGAGGAGUUUCAUAAUGGUCCGGAGGUAAAGAAUUAUAUAUAGGAAGUGGUAUUUCGGCCAUCGGGAAAGUUUCGGGGUCACCCGGUAUUGUACCGGGACCACCGGAAGGGUCCCGGGGGUCCACCGGGUGGGGCCACCCAUCCGGGAGGGCCCCAUGGGCUGAAUUGGGAGGGGAGCCAGCCCAUAGUGGGCUGGUGCACCCCCCUAGGCCCACCCCCUGCGCCUAGGGUUGAAACCCUAGGGUGGGGGGGGGGGACGCACCACAUGCCUUGGGGGGCACUCCUCCCCCCUUGGCCGUCGCCCCCUUGGGAGAUUGAAUCCCCCAGGCCCCCCCUGGGGGCCUAUAUAAAGGGAGGGGGGGGGAGAGGGGCAGCUGCACCCUGAAGUCCUGGCGCCCCCUCCCCUGCUACACCUCUUCCUCCUCCGUCACGCGCUUGGCGAAGCCCUGCCGGAGUGCUGCUGCUCCACCACCACCACGCUGUUGUGCUGCUGCUGGAGCCAUCAUCAUCAACCUCUCCUUCCCCCUUGCUGGAUCAAGAAGGAGUAGACGUCAUCCGCUCCAUACGUGUGUUGAACGCGGAGGUGCCGUCCGUUCGGCGCUAGGAUCUCCGGUGAUAGGAUCACGACGAGAACGACUACUUCAAUCCCGUUCUUUUGAAUGCUUCCGCUCGCGAUCUACAAAGUGGUAUGUAGAUGCAUCUCCCUUGACUCGUUGCCUAGAUGAACUCAUAGAUGGAUAUCCAUCUUGGUGAAACCGUAGGAAAUUUUUUAAUUUUCUGCAACGUUCCCCAACAGUGGCAUCAUGAGCUAGGUCUAUGCGUAGUUCUCUAUUGCACGAGUAGAACACAAUUUAGUUGUGGGCGUAGAUCUUGUCAACUUGCUUGCCGCUACUAGUCUUAUCUUGCUUCAGCGGUAUUGUGGGAUGAAGCGGCCCGGACCAACCUUACACGUACGCUUACGUGAGACCGGUUCCACCGACUAACAUGCACUAGUUGCAUAAGGUGGCUGGCGGGUGUCUGUCUCUCCCACUUUAGUUGAAGCGGAUUCGAUGAAAAGGGUCCUUAUGAAGGGUAAAUAGAAGUUUACAAGAUCACGUUGUGGUUAUUCGUAGUUAAGAAAACGUUCUUGCUAGAACCCAAUUGCAGCCACGUAAAAGAUGCAACAACAAUUAGAGGACGUCUAACUUGUUUUUGCAGCAAUUGUCAUGUGAUGUGAUAUGGCCAGAAGUUGUGAUGAAUGAUGAAUGAUAUAUUGUGAUGUAUGAGAUCAUGUUCUUGUAAUAGGAAUCACGACUUGCAUGUUGAUGAGUAUGACAACCGGCAGGAGCCAUAGGAGUUGUCUUUAUUUUGUAUGACCUGCGUGUCAUUGAAGAACGCCAUGUAAAUUACUUUACUUUGUUGCUAAACGCGUUAGCCAUAGAAGUAGAAGUAGUCAUUGGCGUGACAACUUCAUGAAGACACGAUGAUGGAGAUCAUGAUGAUGGAGAUCAUGGUGUCAUGCCGGUGACGAAGAUGAUCAUGGAGCCCCGAAGAUGGAGAUCGAAGGAGCUAUAUGAUAUUGGCCAUAUCAUGUCACUAUUAUAUAAUUGCAUGAGAUGUUUAUUAUGUUUAUGCAUCUUGUUUACUUAGAACGACGGUAGUAAAUAAGAUGAUCCCUUACAAAAAUUUCAAGAAGUGUUCUCCCCUAACUGUGCACCGUUGCUAAAGUUCGUCGUUUCGAAGCACCACGUGAUGAUCGGGUGUGAUAGAUCCUUACGUUCACAUACAACGGGUGUAAGACAGUUUUACACAUGCAAAACACUUAGGGUUAACUUGACGAGCCUAUCAUGUACAGACAUGGCCUCGGAGCACGGAGACCGAAAGGUCGAACACGAGUCGUAUGGAAGAUACGAUCAACAUGAGAAUGUUCACCGAUGAUGACUAGUCCGUCUCACGUGAUGAUCGGACACAUCCUAGUCGACUCGGAUCGUGUAACACUUAGAUGACUAGAGGGAUGUCUAAUCUGAGUGGGAGUUCAUUAAAAUAAUUUGAUUAGAUGAACUUAAUUAUCAUGAACUUAGUCUAAAACUUUUUGCAUAAUAUGUCUUGUAGAUCAAAUGGCCAACGCUCAUGUCAACAUGAACUUCGACGCGUUCCUAGAGAAAACCAAGCUGAAAGAUGAUGGCAGCAACUAUACGGACUGGGUCCGGAACCUGAGGAUCAUCCUCAUAGCUGCCAGGAAACAACAUGUCCUAGAAGGACUGCUAGGUGACGCUCCCGUCCCAGAGAACCAAGACAUUAUGAAUGCUUGGCAGUCUCGUGCUGAUGAUUACUCCCUCGUUCAGUGCGGCAUGCUUUACAGUUUAGAACCGGGGCUCCAAAAGCGUUUUGAGCAACACGGAGCAUAUGAGAUGUUCGAGGAGCUGAAACUAGUUUUCCAAGCUCAUGCCCGAGUCGAGAGAUAUGAAGUCUCCAACAAGUUCUAUAGUUGUAAGAUGGAGGAAAAUAGUUCUGUCAGUGAGCAUAUACUCAAAAUGUCUGGGUUGCACAACUGCCUGUCCCAGCUGGACAUUAACCUCCCGGAUGAGGCGGUCAUUGACAGAAUCCUUCAGUCGCUCCCACCAAGCUACAAGAGCUUUGUGAUGAACUACAAUAUGCAGGGGAUGGUGAAGACCAUUCCUGAAGUAUUCUCGAUGCUGAAAUCAGCAGAGGUUGAAAUCAAGAAAGAACAUCAAGUGUUGAUGGUCAAUAAGACCACUAAGUUCAAGAAGGGCAAGGGUAAGAAGAACUUCAAGAAGGACGGCAAAGAUGUUGCCACGCCCGGUAAGCCAGUUGCCGGGAAGAAGUCAAAGAAUGGACCCAAGCCUGAAACUGAGUGCUUUUAUUGCAAGGGGAAGGGUCACUGGAAGCGGAACUGCCCCAAAUACUUAGCGGAUAAGAAGGCCGGCAACACCAAAGGUAUAUUUGAUAUACAUGUAAUUAAUGUGUACCUUACUAGUACUCGAAGUAACUCCUGGGUAUUUGAUACCGGUGCCGUUGCUCAUAUUUGUAACUCACAGCAGGAGCUGCGGAAUAAGUGGAGACUGGCGAAGGACGAGGUGACGAUGCGCGUCGGGAAUGGUUCCAGAGUCGAUGUGAUCGCCGUCGGCACGCUACCUCUACAUUUACCUACGGGAUUAGUUUGAACCUUAAUAAUUGUUAUUUGGUGCCAAGUUUGAGCAUGAACAUUGUAUCUGGAUCUCGUUUGAUACGAGAUGGCUACUCAUUUAAAUCCAAGAAUAAUGGUUGUUCUAUUUAUAUGAGAGAUAUGUUUUAUGGUCAUGCUCCAAUGGUCAAUGGUUUAUUCUUAAUGAAUCUCGAAUGUCAUGUUACACAUAUUCAUAGCGUGAAUACCAAAAGAUGUAAAGUUGAUAACGAUAGUCCCACAUACUUGUGGCACUGCCGCCUUGGUCACAUUGGUGUCAAGUGCAUGAAGAAGCUCCAUGCUGAUGGACUUUUAGAGUCUCUCGAUUAUGAAUCAUUUGACACAUGCGAACCAUGCCUCAUGGGCAAAAUGACCAAGACUUCGUUCUCCGGAACAAUGGAGCGAGCAACCAACUUGUUGGAAAUCAUACAUACCGAUGUGUGCGGUCCAAUGAGUGUUGAGGCUCGCGGAGGAUAUCAUUAUGUUCUCACUCUCACAGAUGACUUGAGUAGAUAUGGGUAUGUCUACUUGAUGAAGCACAAGUCUGAGACCUUUGAUAAGUUCAAGGAAUUUCAGAAUGAAGUAGAGAAUCAACGUGACCGAAAGAUAAAAUUCUUAUCGGAUCGUGGAGGAGAAUAUUUAAGUCACGAAUUUGGUACACACUUAAGAAAAUGUGGAAUCGUUUCACAACUCACGCCGCCUGGAACACCUCAGCGAAACGGUGUGUCCGAACGUCGUAAUCGCACUCUAUUGGAUAUGGUGCGAUCUAUGAUGUCUCUUACCGAUUUACCACUAUCAUUUUGGGGACACGCUCUAGAGACAGCUACAUUCACUUUAAAUAGGGCACCGUCUAAAUCCGUUGUGACGACACUGUAUGAAUUAUGGUUUGGGAAGAAACCUAAGCUGUCGUUUCUAAAAGUUUGGGGAUGCGAUGCUUAUGUCAAGAAACUUCAACCUGAAAAGCUCGAACCCAAGUCGGAAAAACGCGUCUUCAUAGGAUACCCUAAAGAAACCAUUGGGUAUACCUUCUACUUAAGAUCCGAGGGCAAGAUCUUUGUUGCCAAGAACGGAUCCUUUCUGGAAAGGGAGUUUCUCUUGAAAGAAGUAAGUGGGAGGAAAGUAGAACUCGAUGAAGUACUACCUCUUAAACGGGAAAGUAGUGCAGCUCAGGAAAAUGUUCCUGUGAUGCCUACACCAACUGAAGAGGAAAAUAAUGAUGAAGGUACUUCGGAUCAAGUUGCUACUGAACUUCGUAGGUCCACAAGGACACGUUCCGCACCAGAGUGGUACGGCAACCCUGUCCUGGAAAUCAUGUUGUUAGACAACGGUGAACCUUCGAACUAUGAAGAAGCGAUGGCGGGCCCAGAUUCCAACAAAUGGCUAGAAGCCAUGAAAUCCGAGAUAGAAUCCAUGUAUGAAAACAAAGUAUGGACUUUGACUGACUUGCCCGAUGAUCGGCGAGCGAUAGAAAACAAAUGGAUCUUUAAGAAGAAGACGGACGCGGAUGGUAAUGUCACCAUCUAUAAAGCUCGACUUGUCGCUAAGGGUUAUCGGCAAGUUCAAGGGAUUGACUACGAUGAGACUUUCUCUCCCGUAGCGAAGCUUAAGUCCGUCCAAAUCAUGUUAGCAAUUGCCGCAUACUAUGAUUAUGAGAUAUGGCAGAUGGACGUCAAAACGGCAUUCCUUAACGGGCAUCUUAAGGAAGAACUGUAUAUGAUGCAGCCGGAGGGUUUUGUCGAUCCUAAGAAUGCUAACAAAGUAUGCAAGCUCCAGCGAUCCAUUUAUGGGCUGGUGCAAGCAUCUCGGAGUUGGAAUAUUCGCUUUGAUGAAAUGAUCAAAGCGUUUGGGUUUAUGCAGACUUAUGGAGAAGCCUGCAUUUACAAGAAAGUGAGUGGGAGCUCUGUAGCAUUUCUCAUAUUAUAUGUAGAUGACAUACUUUUGAUGGGAAAUGAUAUAGAAUUCUUGGACAGCAUUAAGGCCUACUUGAAUAAGUGUUUUUCAAUGAAGGACCUUGGAGAAGCUGCUUAUAUAUUAGGCAUCAAGAUCUAUAGAGAUAGAUCGAGACGCCUCAUAGGUCUUUCACAAAGCACAUACCUUGAUAAGAUUUUGAAGAAGUUCAAAAUGGAUCAGUCCAAGAAGGGGUUCUUGCCUGUAUUGCAAGGUGUGAGAUUGAGCUCGGCUCAAUGCCCGACCACGGAAAAAGAUAAAGAAGAGAUGAGUGUCAUCCCCUAUGCCUCAUCCAUAGGAUCUAUUAUGUAUGCCAUGCUGUGUACCAGACCUAAUGUAAACCUUGCCGUAAGUUUGGUAGGAAGGUACCAAAGUAAUCCCGGCAAGGAACACUGGACAUCGGUCAAGAAUAUCCUAAAGUACCUGAAAAGGACGAAGGACAUGUUUCUCAUUUAUGGAGGUGACGAAGAGCUCGUCGUAAAGGGUUACGUCGACGCUAGCUUCGACACAGAUCUGGAUGACUCUAAGUCACAAACCGGAUACGUGUAUAUGUUGAAUGGUGGAGCAGUAAGCUGGUGCAGCUACAAGCAAAGCGUCGUGGCGGGAUCUACAUGUGAAGCGGAGUACAUGGCAGCUCGGAGGCAGCGCAUGAAGCAAUUUGGGUGAAGGAGUUCAUCACCGACCUAGGAGUCAUACCCAAUGCGUCGGGGCCGAUCAAACUCUUCUGUGACAACACUGGAGCUAUUGCCCUUGCCAAGGAGCCCAGGUUUCACAAGAAGACCAGGCACAUCAAGCGUCGUUUCAACUCCAUCCGUGAAAAUGUUCAAGAUGGAGACAUAGAUAUUUGCAAAGUACAUACAGAUCUGAAUGUCGCAGAUCCGUUGACUAAACCUCUCUCGCGAGCAAAACAUGAUCAACACCAGAACUCUAUGGGUGUUCGAUUCAUCACAAUGUAACUAGAUUAUUGACUCUAGUGCAAGUGGGAGACUGUUGGAAAUAUGCCCUAGAGGCAAUAAUAAAAGCAUUAUUAUUAUAUUUCCUUGUUCAUGAUAAUUGUCUUUUAUUGAUGCUAUAAUUGUAUUAUCCGGAAAUCGUAAUACACGUGUGAAUACAUAGACCAUAACAUGUCCCUAGUGAGCCUCUAGUUGACUAGCUCGUUGGUCAACAGAUAGUCAUGGUUUCCUGAUUAUGGACAUUAGAUGUCAUUGACAACGGGAUCACAUCAUUAGGAGAAUGAUGUGAUGGACAAGACCCAAUCCUAAGCAUAGCACAAGAUCGUGUAGUUCGUUUUGCUAGAGCUUUUUCAAUGUCAAGUAUCUCUUCCUUAGACCAUAAGACCGUGUAACUCCCGGAUACCGUAGGAGUGCUUUGGGUGUACCAAACAUCACAACGUAACUGGGUGACUAUAAAGGUGCACUACAGGUAUCUCCGAAAGUGUCUGUUGGGUUGACACGGAUCAAGACUGGGAUUUGUCACUCCGUAUGACGGAGAGGUAUCUCUGGGCCCACUCAGUAAUGCAUCAUCAUAAUGAGCUCAAAGUGACCAAGUGUUUGGUCAUGGGAUCAUGCAUUACGGUACGAGUAAAGUGACUUGCCGGUAACGAGACUGAACGAGGUAUUGGGAUACCGACGAUCGAGUCUCGGGCAUGUAACGUACCGAAUGACAAAGGGAAUUGUAUACGGGGUUGUUCGAAUCCUCGACAUCGUGGUUCAUCCGAUGAGAUCAUCGAGGAGCAUGUGGGAGAUAACAUGGGUAUCUAGAUCCCGUUGUUGGUUAUUUCCCGAGAGCCGUCUCGGUCAUGUCUACGUGUCUCCCGAACCCGUAGGGUCUACACACUUAAGGUUCGAUGACGCUAGGGUUGUAUGAAUAUGAGUAUGCAGUAUACCGAAUGUUGUUCGGAGUCCCGGAUGAGAUCCCGGACGUCACGAGGAGUUUCGGAAUGGUCCGGAGGUAAAGAAUUAUAUAUAGGAAGUGGUAUUUCGGCCAUCGGGAAAGUUUCGGGGUCACCCGGUAUUGUACCGGGACCACCGGAAGGGUCCCGGGGGUCCACCGGGUGGGGCCACCCAUCCCGGAGGGCCCCAUGGGCUGAAGUGGGAGGGGAGCCAGCCCUUAGUGGGUUGGUGCGCCCCCCUAGGCCCACCCCCUGCGCCUAGGGUUGAAACCCUAGGGUGGGGGGGGGGGCGCACCACAUGCCUUGGGGGGCACUCCUCCCCCCUUGGCCGCCGCCCCCUUGGGAGAUUGAAUCUCCCAGGGCCGGCGCCCCCCCUGGGGGCCUAUAUAACGGGAGGGGGGGGGAGAGGGGCAGCCGCACCGUGAAGUCCUGGCGCCCCCCUCCCCUGCUACACCUCUUCCUCCUCCGUCACGCGCUUGGCGAAGCCCUGCCGGAGUGCUGCUGCUCCACCACCACCACGCCGUUGUGCUGCUGCUGGAGCCAUCAUCAUCAACCUCUCCUUCCCCCUUGCUGGAUCAAGAAGGAGGAGACGUCAUCUGCUCCGUACGUGUGUUGAACGCGGAGGUGCCGUCCGUUCGGCGCUAGGAUCUCCGGUGAUAGGAUCACGACGAGAACGACUACUUCAACCCCGUUCUUUUGAACGCUUCCGCUCGCAAUCUACAAAGUGGUAUGUAGAUGCAUCUCCCUUGACUCGUUGCCUAGAUGAACUCAUAGAUGGAUCUUGGUGAAACCGUAGGAAAAUUUUUAAUUUUCUGCAACGUUCUCCAACACAUCCAUCAAUACCUUCGUUAGUCGAGUGCCUUCGAUGACCGGGUCGACCACCAGUGCUUGCCUCCCAGGGGUGGCAAUAUGAGUAGGAUGGUCUGACUGGUCGAAAGUAAUGGGAGUUUGCGACCAUCUCAGAUAGUUUGGUGUCGCUGGUGCGACUAUAUUGACUUCACGGUUGAUCACUUUCAGUCGACUUUUGCUCUCUACAUCAGCAAAAAUCAUCAGAGUGGAGUUGACAUGAGGGUACUCUCCAUCACUGUCCUGCUUGUCCUCAGCCUUGUCCGACUCCUUCUCUUUGUCCUUCGGCUGUUUCCCUUGGAACUGCUGGAUUAAGAGCCGGCACUGGCGAGUGGUAUGCUUUGGGUAGACGAAGUUACCCUCUUCGUCUUUCUUCGUGUGGAUAUGACACGGCAGGUCCAUCACAUCAUUACCCUCCUUAUCUUUUACCUUCUUGGGGUUCCAAGAUCCUUUGGGCUUCCCUUUAAAUUUGCCCUGUGUCACGGCUAGAGCCUCUCCGGGAGCUGCUGGCUCGGCCUUCCGCUUUUGCUUCCGACUGGAGUUUCCUUUAUCCGACUGGCUCGACUUGUACUUGCCGCUCCGGAGUCGGUCCUCUUCUUCGCUGUUGGCGUACUUGGUGGCUAUUUCCAUCAUCCGACUCAGGGUCAUGUCUCCAGUUCGACCAAACUUCAGGCUCAACUCUCUGUUCUUGAUACCAUCUUUGAAGGCGCAAACCGCUUGAUGGUCUGACACAUUCUCUACAGUGUGAUGCAAAGUGAUUCACCUCUGGAUGUAAUCCCUCAGUGUUUCACCCGACUUUUGUACACAAACUUGUAGCUCAGUCAAUCCAGCAGGUCGCUUGCAAGUUCCCUCAAAUGUCCUGACGAACACUCGAGAAAGAUCUUCCCAGGUGUAAAUGCUGCUGGGAGCUAACUGAUUCAACCAUGCCCUGGCCGAACCCCCUAGCAUAAGUGGCAAAUGUUUCAUGGCCACCUCAUCAUUACCGCCACCAAUCUGAACAGCCACUCGGUAGUCUUCGAGCCAAGUUUCAGGCUUAGACUCUCCGGUGAACUUAUUCACCCCAGUCGCCAACCUGAAGUUGGGGGGUAUCACUGCGGCUCUGAUCGCUCUGCUAAAACAUUCUGGACCUGAAACGUGGACUCGGCUGCUUGUGGGCACAUCUCUGUCAUGACCACCUCUAUGAGCUCUGUUUCGGUCGACCAAACCUUGCACGAUGAUGGAUCUCGCGUCAAAGCCUGGCUCUCUGGGGUCGACUGGACCUCUCCACCCAACACUGAGCUGGCGUCUGUCAUCUUGCUGCCGAUGGGCGUUAGACCCACUUCUCAGAGGAGGAGCGGGCACUCGACGCCUGUCAUCAUGAUCAAAUCGAUCAUCAUAGUGGUCCUGCCGGCCUUCAUGUCCCAUGCACCUCGGAGGCGACCUUGGACUGUGAGCCGACUGAGCAGUAUUCGCAGCGACAGAUCGACUGUGAAUCCUAUUACGUGACUGUGACACAGCUGAAUUCUGAUCUCCUGCUGCCCGGAGCAAAUCUCUGAUCUGCAUCAAGCCUCUUCCAGCCUCUGACUAAGAGGGCUGAAUUGACUCCGCUAUGCGGGCUGCAGCUGCCAAAUUCUGAAUUGGGGUUCGAUAUACCUGAGUUGGUUGCGGAAAGAGCUGACGUCGAUUGGAGUUAGUCGCUCGUUGACGCGCACGCUCGUCGAGUGCUCGCUGAAGGUUCUCCAGUCGAGUGCGUUCAGCCAGGUUGGCUAAACGCGCCUCUUCCAGGGCACGAGCCUCAGGAGUUUCUCCUACAAUGGGAGUAUGCAGGGCAUCCAUGUUCCGGCGGCAAAGUUCUUCCCUCUGCUGGGAAGUGAGCGGCUCGGGUUGGUAUUCUUCAUGGGCUUGAGCAGGGUCGUCCUCGUCGUCCAUCCCGUCGCCGCGGGGGAAACCGGGAGGACUACGGGGUCCGUUGACCAUCAGGACCUCCGCCGCUGGAUCACUGCUAUCGCACUCGGAUGCAGUCUCUACGAAGCCAGUCGACAGGUCGAACAGGCCGUAGAGAGAUUCGUCGGGCUCAAUCGCCGCGACUUGGGUGGUGGCCGAUUGGCGAGCCACUGCGUGUCUCACCCAUCGCUAGAGCCUCGACCGACCGGAGCGCUUGCGCUGGCGGGAAACAGGGAGGGAGGACGGCGCAGGAGUCGACCGGUAUGGGGUCGACGGCUGCCGCAGCAAGACGCCGCGGACACACGCCUGAAAGUGCGUCGCCCCGCGGACGGGGAGCGCGUCAAUGUCGAGUGGUGCCUCCUGGAGCCAAGCGGAGUCGUCGGCGAUGAAAGUGAGCGCACCGAGACGGAUCUCGUGGCCCUCGACCAGAGCUCCGCCGGAAACCAUGAUGAAGGCGAUCGGACAAAUUGGAACUUCUCCAAAAAAGUCGCUAAGACACCUGCCCCACGGUGGGCGCCAACUGUCGUGGUUCUAAGUCUGACAGUAGAAUGGGGGGUAAGUAUGGAAAGGCAAGGUCCUAGCUAUGGAGUAGUUGUACACACGGGUGUUUAGCGAGUUCAGGCCCUUCUCGAAGGAGGUAACAGCCCUACGUCUCGGAGCCCGGAGGCGGUCGACUGAUCUCUGUGUAUAUGAGUUACAGGGGUGCGAACCCUUCUAACAGUUGAGGGGGGUGGCUUAUAUAGAGGUCGCCAGGACCCCAGCCAACCCAGGUAGAGGAGGGUUAAAGUACAUUAAGGUCGGGCGUUACUGGUAACGCCCUACAUAAAGUGUCAUCAUGACCAUUAAGACUACUUCAUUACAGACCGUUUGGAUACAGUAUAGGUCUUGACUUCUGAUGGUCGAGUGUGUCUUCAUGGUCGAGUGGAGCUUCUCUUGGUCGAGUGGAGCUUCUCUUGGUCGACUGGAAGGUAGCUUUGUGUGAUGAUGUCCUUGGGUAUGGUAUCCUAGAUAGGUCCAUGACCCUACCCUAGGUACAUAACCUCAUCAGCCGCCGAGGACGCCGCUGCUGCCACCAAAGAUGCGGCCUCUUCAUGGCCUACUGGAGGGUAUACCUCGUUUAUCCCGCUCCUGAUUAAUUUCAUAUUAGCAGUACUAGCAGUAUGUGUAGAUUUGUCUACUGUUUGCUUAGUACGUGCAUGUUUAGAUCAAAGUCAGUACGUUAUCAACUUAGUCAAUGCCAUGCUAGUGAUUUACUCGUGGAUUAAUUUAAUCGAGAAAUUGCCUAUUUACUCAACAAUCCAAAAACCUAUUAUGUGUAGGAAUUUUUCGGCAAGUGGCUUUGCCGCAGCACUGAAACCGGAUAAGUUUACCGGUACGUAUUUUAAGCGUUGGCAGACAAAGACCACUUUAUGGCUCACGGCUAUGAACGUGUUCUGGGUCACCGGUGUGUCCACGGGAACGAUUGCUCCUGAACAGGAGAAGGCGUUCAGGGAGGCAACCACUGUGUUUCUCGGAGCAGUUCUUAGCGUGAUCGGAGAUAAACUGGUCGACGCAUAUUUACAUGUGCAUGUCGCCAAGGACUUGUGGGAGGCGCUCGAAUCUAAGUUCGGGGCCGCCGAUGCAGGGAGCGAGAUGUAUAUUAUAGAGCAGUUCCACGAUUACAAGAUGGUUGAGAACCGUCCUGUACUGGACCAGGCUCAUGAGAUAAUAUGCAUUGUUAAGGAGCUUGAGCUUCUGAAGUGCGAGUUACCGGGCAAGUUUGUCACGGGCUACAUAAUCGCUAAGCUCCCCAAUUCCUGGAGGAAUUUUGCCACCACUCUGAAACAUCAGAGGCGUGAAUUCUCUGUGGAGGAUGUCAUUGGCCAUCUGAGUGUUGAGCAGAAUUCGAGGGCAAAGGACUCGCACGGAAAAGGGGCCGAAGGGACUUCUGUUGCCAACAUGGUGAACCAGAGGAACUUCAACUCCCACAAGUUCAAGGGAAAGAACGGUGUCCAACAGAAUACCGACUUCAAGAAGAAGGGUAAGAAGACCUUCAAGAAGAACAAGAAGGAUGAGGGCUGCUUUACUUGUGGUUCGACUGAACAUUGGGCCAACAAGUGCCCAAACAAGUUUAAGAAGUCAGGACAGGACUCCAAGUCUGUCAACAUGAUUGUGGGCAACAAUGAGAAUGGUGCAUCUGGGUACGGCAAUUUAUUUACUGUUUUUUCAGUGUUUCAGCCUACCGAUUGGUGGGUGGAUACAGGUGCAGGUGUUCAUGUGUGUGCUGACAUUUCAUUGUUCUCUUCUUACCAGCUCACAGGCCACGGGUCCGUAUUGAUGGGGAAUGGCGCGAGUGCUUCUGUUCAUGGUGUUGGCACGGUCGAUCUGAAGUUUACUUCGGGAAGGAUCGUGCAACUGAAGAACGUGCAGCAUGUCCCCGCCAUUAAGAAGAACCUCGUUAGUGGCUCCCUUCUAUGUAGAGAAGGGUUUAAGUUGGUAUUCGAGUCUAAUAAAUUAGUUGUUACUAAGUAUGGACUAUUUGUUGGAAAAGGUUAUGAGAACGGAGGGAUGUUCCGUCUUUCCCUCGCAGAUUUCUGUAAUAAAGUCGUGAACCAUAUUCAUUCGAGUGUUAAUGAAUCUGAGGUUUGGCAUUCACGUCUUUGUCACAUAAGUUUUGGUGUUAUGACGCGGCUAGCUAAGUUGGAUUUAAUCCCGAGUUUCACUUUAGCCAAAGGUUCUAAGUGUCUGUCAUGUGUGCAAGCUAAGCAACCUCGCCAGCCUCACAAGGCUGCGGAGGAGAGACACUUGGCACCAUUAGAACUCAUACAUUCUGAUCUUUGUGAGAUGAACGGUGUAUUGACUAAAGGUGGAAAGAAAUACUUCAUGACAUUGAUAGAUGAUUCCACUAGGUAUUGCUAUGUGUAUCUGUUAAAUACUAAAGAUGAGGCUCUACACUACUUUAAAAUCUAUAAGGCAGAAGUUGAGAAUCAACUUGAAAAGAAAAUUAAACGAUUCUGUUCAGAUCGUGGUGGAGAGUACUUCUCGAGUGAGUUUGAUUCCUUCUGUGCGGAACACGACAUUAUUCAUGAGAGGACGCCUCCCUAUUCACCCCAGUCAAACGGGGUUGCCGAGCGGAAAAACCGUACUCUAACGGAUCUGGUUAACGCCAUGUUAGAUACGUCGGGUUUAUCCAAGGCAUGGUGGGGGGAGGCUAUAUUGACGGCAUGUCAUGUCCUGAAUAAAGUUCCGACAAAGGAUAAUGAGAUCACUCCCUAUGAGAGAUGGGAAAAUAGAAGGACAACACUCUCGUACUUGCGUACUUGGGGCUGUUUGGCGAAAGUCAACGUGCCGAUCCCCAAAAAGCGUAAUCUUGGACCCAAGACUGUGGACUGCGUUAAUUUGGGCUACGCUAAGAACAGCGUUGGCUAUAGAUUUCUAGUAGUGAAAUCUGAGUUACCUGACCAGAAGGUCGGUACAAUCAUAGAGUCUAAGGAUGCUACAUUCUUUGAGGAUAUUUUUCCUAUGAGAGAUAUGCAAAGCACUUCUAGACAUGAAUCUGAGGAGACUCCUGAGCCUGCCAUUCCUAUGGAAUAUUAUGAACGAACACAUGAUGAAAAUCCUGAGGAGGAUGACGAGGAAACCCUUGGUAGGGGCAAGAGACAAAGGAAUGCAAAGACCUUUGGUGAUGAUUUCUUCGUGUACCUCGUGGAUGAUACUCCCACUUCUAUCUCAGAAGCGUAUGCCUCUCUAGAAGCUGACUACUGGAAGGAUGCGGUCCGUAGCGAGAUGGAUUCCAUCAUGGCUAAUGGGACAUGGGAGAUCACUAAGCGUCCCUAUGGUUGCAAACCAUUGGGAUGUAAGUGGGUGUUCAUGAAAAAGCUUAGGCCCGAUGGUACGAUUGAAAAGUACAAGGCCAGGCUUGUGGCCAAGGGCUAUGACCAGAAAGAAGAGGAAGAUUUCUUCGAUACUUAUUCACCUGUGGCUAGACUGACCACCAUUCAAGUAUUACUCUCGUUGGCGGCCUCACAUGGUCUUCUCGUCCAUCAAAUGGAUGUUAAGACGACAUUUCUGAAUGGAGAGCUAAAUGAGGAAAUCUACAUGCAACAGCCAGAUGGCUUUGUGAUAGAUGGUCAGGAAAGGAAGGUGUGUAAGUUACUGAAAUCUUUAUAUGGCCUGAAGCAAGCACCUAAGCAAUGGCAUGAUAAGUUCAAUACAACUCUGACAUCUGUUGGUUUCGUUGUUAAUGAGGCUGACAAAUGUGUAUACUAUCGCCAUGGUGGGGGCGAAGGAGUUAUACUGUGCUUGUAUGUUGAUGACAUACUGAUAUUCGGAACAAACCUCAAAGUCAUUGAGGAGGUCAGAUCGUUUCUGUCUCAGAACUUUGAGAUGAAGGACCUUGGUGUGGCUGAUGUUAUCUUGAACAUCAAGCUACUAAGAGAUAAUAAGGGUGGGAUCACACUUCUGCAAUCCCAUUAUGUUGAGAAGGUGUUGAGUUGUUUUGGAUAUUCGGACUGCACAUCAUCUCAAACACCAUAUGAUCCUAGCGUGUUGAUUCGAAAGUCCAAAGGCAUGGCUAAAGAUGAAUUGAGAUACUCUCAAAUCAUUGGUUCACUGAUGUACCUAGCGAGCGCAACGAGGCCUGACAUCGCGUUUGCUGUGAGCAAUCUGAGCCGGUUUGUUUCCAAACCGGGUGAUGUACAUUGGCAUGCUGUUGAAAGAGUUAUGCACUAUCUGAAAGGUACUAUGAACUAUGGACUUCACUAUACCAGAGACCUGUCGGUACUUGAAGGGUAUAGUGAUGCGAAUUGGAUCUCUGAUGCUGAUGAGAUGAAGGCCACAACUGGGUAUAUGUUUGCUCUUGGAGGUGGCGCUGUUUCCUGGAAGUCUUGCAAGCAAACGAUCUUAACGAGAUCGACAACGGAAGCAGAAUUAACAGCAUUAGACACUUCUGGUGUUGAAGCAGGAUGGCUUCGAGAUCUUUUGAUGGACUUGCCACUGGUUGAUAAACCGGUUCCGGCUAUCCAUAUGAACUGUGACAAUCUGACUGUCAUCACCAAGGUGAAGAGUUCAAAGGACAACAUGAAGUCCAACAAACACAUAAGAAUGAGAUUAAAAGCUGUCAGAAAAUUAAGAAACUCCGGAGUGAUAGCGCUGGACUAUGUCCAUACGGCUAAGAAUCUGGCAGAUCCCUUUACGAAAGGGCUAUCAUGUGUAAUGAUAGAUAGUGCAUCGAGGGAGAUGGGUAUGAGACCCACAUGAGUUGCCAUGGUGGUAACCCAACCUAUGUGAUCGGAGAUCCCAUGAAGUAGGGCCUGGGAAACAAGCCAGUGGUGAACUGAGGAGAGUAACUUUACUAACCCACUCCGUUGGAGAUGCAAUACUCUCGGAAACUGUAUGGAAGGAUGACUAUUGUCUUAAUGUGUUCCAAGGCUUAUAUGUAUAAGCAAGAUGCUAUCCUACAGAGCGAUCUUUGGAGGAACACACCUAUGUGAGCCCGACUGCUAGUCACAGCCUAUGAAAUUGGGGUGAUCUAUAGUAAGCUCAUGAAUAGGCCAGGAGUGUGACUUAUAUGCUCCACCCGAGGGGUCAGCCUUCGGCAGCCUAGUACUAGUAAGACAUGUGGUGAAACUUCUUUACGCCAAACUGACAAUUCAAGGCGUAGUCCAUUGUUCAGUUGUGAAGGAGUGUAGCUACUUGCUCUAGGUGAAGCUCAACCUUAACAGGUCUUCACUGAAAUGCUAGUAUAUCAAAACAGCGUUUGGAACAAAGGACAAAGUGAGCCCCUGAGAUCUGGUGGGGGAUUGUUGAAAUGUGAGAUGGGCCUAAAGCCCAUAUAACAAUUUCAGAUUUGAUCUCUAAGGGCCCAUGUAGGUGGCAUGACAAGGUGGUGGGAAGUUUAGUCCCACCAUGCUAGUGUAAGGAAAGUUGGAGUGGUUUAUAAGGGUGUCUCUUCUACAUGCUAUUGGAGCUUGAGAAGAGAAGAGGCCCUCGCGCGCUCCUCCUCCGCCGCCCGCCUCGCCGCGCCGCGCCGCGGCGCGGCGAGGUUGCGGGAAUGAGCCGAGCCGAACUCACACCUAUGCGCUUAUUUUUGCCAGUCACUAACGAAGAGGUUCUGACAGCAAGCCCACGUCUCUCCACGCGGCUGCGUCUAUAUAAGUGUGUUGUGUCCCCUAACCCUAGCCGCCAUGAACAAAUCACAUCUGCUCACGCGCACGCCCACCGUCAUUCCUUUGCUGCUGCUGCCGCCGGUGACUCCAUCCCGUCCGCCCGUACACGGUCGACGGGAGAGCAGGUCUCCGAAACCACGCCCUUCUGGUUCCUGUACGGGGUGAGGGGCGAAUAGGUUUUUGGGCAGCGAUUACGCGACUGCUCGCUUCCGAUCGUCUACUUCCUCUACGUCCGCGUCGCCUUCAUCAUCACCAUGUCCACCGACCCCGACCGCGCCGCCGCCGAGAAAGCUGAAGCCGACAAGAAGGCCGCCGAGGACGCCGCUGCUGCCACCAAAGAUGCGGCCUCUGCAUGGCCUACUGGAGGGUAUACCUCGUUUAUCCCGCUCCUGAUUAAUUUCAUAUUAGCAGUACUAGCAGUAUGUGUAGAUUUGUCUACUGUUUGCUUAGUAUGUGCAUGUUUAGAUCAAAGUCAGUACGUCAUCAACUUAGUCAAUGCUAUGCUAGUGAUUUACUCGUGAAUUAAUUUAAUCAAAAAAUUGUCUAUUUACUCAACAAAGCUUGUGUGGUGCAGCUCGCUCCGACCCAAGGCCGCAGGCAGCGUUCCACUCGUGCGCGCGCCGGCGCCCCGCCCGUGGAUUGCCGACUGGAUCGGGCACACGUUUUUCGAUAAUUGUACCGUCGCGAGAACGACGGCCGUUCCUGCGGUCGCGGUCAAGAUUCUCCGCACCGUUCAAUUCGAAUUAACUUCCUUCCGUCUCGUCUCAUCCCUGUCACGAUCGAGCCAGGAUUUAGACAGGAAAAGUGCGGAGAGACAGCAACGGGUUGGCAUAUUACCUUUCUCAUGUACUCUUUCCGUUCAAAAGGUUUGUUCCAACCUUGUCCCUCACAGGAAUGUAUCUAGCACCAAGAUUUUUGAGUCGGAGGGAAUACACUGUAAGAAGAUGUUUCGAAUCAUUUAAGAUAUCCACAACAUGCGUAAGAACUCACGAGCCAUCAGUUUAUGAUCUUUGCACAUUCUCCUGUCCCGCAGCCAUCGAGAUAACUGAUGAAAAUUUCUAAGUUAGGCCCUACCACGGAAGAAGAAAAAGAAACGAGAGAGAAUUGCAAGGACAUAAACAUUGAAGGGGGAAGUUUGUCACCAAGCCAAGGAAGUUAUCCCACCUUGUCUCCCGCAAAAUAUGAUUUAAUCAUCUUUGAUGAGAUUGUUUCAAUUACUGACUCUUGCGCCUUAUAACUUAUUAUUGCUAUUGAAUUGAUGUACGAGAAAAAUUUGGUGCUGUCUUGUAAAGAACUUAUUGUAUCCAUCAUUUAAUAAUAGUGGAAUAAGAUUUGGGUGGGAUCGCACGGUGGUUCCUACCCCAACUUCGUGGUCCCCGCAUUAAAAUUUCGUGUUCAUAUGUGUUAUUACUGUAGUUUGGAGUGGUUUGCGGGGCCUCAGACAAUUUCUAGGCAUUGCUUGAAGCUUUCUCAAGACCUAAGAUGCCUUCAUAGGUGUGGCUUUCGCCAGGUCCUCCAUAUAUGUAUAUGCAUGUUUUCCUCCCAUAUGAGCAAUGGCCAUUCGAGUUAGUGCAUGAAGUAGCCUUGAAAUUAUACAUUGAUCUCGCUGGAGUUUCCAGAUUACCACAAAAUAUGUGCUAAUUUCAAGCACACCAGUGAAGACACAUGAUGAAAAUAAAUAGAGUGAAUCAACCUAGAAUAUUUCCGUGCCAUGGUGAAAAUUACAGCUUCUCCAGAUUUUUCCCAUAUCUGAUCGUAGACCGAGGUCCGAUCGUCCGAGAUAGCGAGGCUCUAAAUCCGAUCUAACAUCUCGUUCAGGAGUGUCUUGUCGGCUUCACCCAUAUCUUGACAUGAGGUUGGGCUUAGUUGAAGCUUGGUCGUGGUUCCAUCUGACACGACCUCGGCAGUUUCGCCAUCUGAACUCGACGUUCGGACCAGCUCGGCAAUGUUCGGCUCUGAGCUCAAGAAUAGAUCUGGUGAGUGCUCUGCGCCGUAGUCCCGAUACGAGAUCUCCUGGCGUCACCAGUGGCACACCAUGGUUCAGUGGUGCCCCUGGGUGACGCCUCCGGUUGUGCCCUAGGACGGCACCUCAAUACCCAGGUGCACGCGCACGUCUCCUGGUGUUCCCCUGCAUCGCCUAGACGAUGGUGGUUGACCGCACCGCAACUGCGGUCUGGUCGUGUCUCUGCUACGAUUCCAACUUCCUCAGUGAGCUCCUGUCCUUCCUCCUUCUCCCGAUGCUCAUGUCUGUGUUAAUGCAGUUGUCUGUUUGUUUCAAACUUUGACAGUUGCUGAUUUAGUUCAAUUUACCGAACUUGUUGUAGUUCAUUCAGUGUCUCUCGGUGCUUCAGUUUAGUUCGUACUUCAUUUUCCUUUCCAUUGGUCUGUUUAACCUUUUAUAUUACUCCCUCCGUCCCAAAAUUCUUGUCUUAGAUUUGCCUCAAUACGAAUGUAUCAAGUCACGUUUUAGUAUUAGAUACAUCCGUAUCUAGGCAAUUCUAAGACAAGAAUUUUGAGACGGAGGGAGUACUACUAUAUGUGUUAACAUACCACUAUUAGAAAAAGGCUGUUAGUGGCACACCUAUUUUUGCCAUUAAUGGUGCACUAUAGAUGCGCCACUAUUACCACGCCACUAGUAACAAAUACUAAUGGCGCACCUCUGGUGCGCCAUUAGUAUUGCAGGUAACAGUGGCGCACCUUGUAGUGCGCCAUUACUAUUGCUACAGGUGCGCCACUGGUAACUUUUUUUUGAAUUUUUUUUGUUUUGUUUUUUUUAAUUUUGAAGGCGGGAAAAUAGUAGUGGCGCACCGUCUAACCCCCACCGUGCGCCAUUGCUAUUUUUGAAUUUUGAAUUUGGAUCUGGAUCUAGAUCUGGCUCAUUUUGUUGGCUUGUUUUUUUGCUUGAAUUUUUUUCAAAUUUUGUUCUCGACCUGGAUCUAGUAUGUUCUUUGUGCCGGGGGAGCUCCACAUGUGGCCGGAAGUAGAGGAGGAGGGAGGAGAGACCGUAAGGAGGAGAGGAGGGAGGAGAGACUGUGAGGAUCAGGAGAGGAGGGAGGAGGAGGUCGCCAGAGAGGAGGAAGAGGACCGUGAGCAGGAGAGGAAGGAGGAGCACCGUGAGGAGGAGAGGAGGGAGGAGGAGGUCACCGGAGGAGGAGCACCGUGAGGAGGAGGUCACUGGAGGAGGAGCACCGUGAGGAGGAGGAGGUUGCCGGAGAGGAGGAGAUGGCGUGGAGGAGAGGAGGAGAUGGAGUGGAGGAGAGGAGGAAAGGAGGAGAGGAGGAGAAGAAUGAAGGGGUAAGUGUUGGCCGACCCUUUUAAACUUCUGUCCAAACUUAGCAGUGGCGCACCGUGCACUGGUGCGCCAUUGCUAUUUUUUUGAAUUGUGAAGGCCGGAAAAUAGUAGUGGCGCACUACUCACUGAUGCACCAUUGCUAUUUUUUUUGAAUUUUUUGCCUCAAGAUCUUAAAAGCCCCGUAUCUUUUAUUCUGUUAGGUUUUUGGGGAUUCUAAAAAUCUUCAACGGGGUUUCCCGGUUGAAUUCGGAUGUAACUUUUCGAGUAGAUGAUUUUUUAUAUAAAAAACUUUUUAAUCCGAGUUCGUAUGCAAAAGUUAUGCCCAUUUUACUAAAUUCCAGAGAGAUUUUACAAAUAAAGUCAAAAUUCAUAUUUGUAAAUUUUCCCAACAACUAGACCACAUAUCAUAUGGAAAACUUAUUUUCUUUUAUUCUUUUGACUUUUCCAUCAUUUUCUUUUAUUUUUUUUAAACUGAAAAGACGGUCCGGGGUAGGUGGGGUGUUUGUGUGCGUGAGAAGUUAGUGGUGGCGCACCGUGGUUGUGGUGCGCCAUUACUAGUUUUUUUAAAAAAGUAAAAAAAAAUGUUAGUAGUGGCGUACAGAGGGUGUGGUGCACCAUUACUAGUUAAAACUAGUAAUGACGCACUAUCCCCUGGUGCGCCAUUACUAGUUUAAAAAAAAUGUUAGCAAUGGCGCACCGUGGGUGUGGUGCGCCAUUAGUGAUAUGGCCACUAAUGGCGUACCUAUAUAUGAUGCGCCACUGCUAUAUAGCAAUGGACGCACCACAUACGUGGUGUGCCAUUAAUGUCCAUAUUAGCUAUAGCUUUUUUUAAUAAUGUACUAGUGCUACUGUUGUUGUAUAAGAAUGAACUACUACUAAUGUUAGCCCAUGUGUAUGUGGGUUCUCGUGUUACCUGCACAAAAAUACUAGGUGCAUGUGUUCUGCUCUUGCAGAUCAUUAUGGGGUGAUACUGAUGGUGAAGUUCUUCUAUUAACUUAGAUAGUUCUUUUCUUGUUUCUAUUUCCCUCUCUUCUACUAGUAUGACCUCUUUUUUCAAAUACAUGUUGAAACAUUUUUCAAAUAUAAAAAACUUUAUUUCAAACUAUGCAAAAAAAAGUGCAUUAGACAACAUUUUUUCAAAAUGUUCCGAUCACAUUUUUGAAACUCGUGAAGACUUUUUAAAAUGUGAUGUACAUUUGUUUUUUGAAUUACACAAACAUUUUUAUUGCAUUGCGUAAACAUUUUUUAAAAUGUUACAGAUAUUUUUUUGAAACGUGUUUUUUGUGCAUAUGAUUAACAUUUUUUGUAGACAUGAUUAAAAUAUUACUAAUUUUUUCAUUACUGUUAUACAUUUUCUGUAUACACUAGAAAUAUUUUUCCAUAGAAGUUUAACAUUUUACAUAUAAGAGAUUAACAUUUUUCAAAAUUUAGUGUAAAGUGUUUUUGUAAUAUAUAUAUUUAGAAUAUGUUUAAAUGUAUACACACAAAACUAAACACACAACACACACACACACACACACACACACACACACACACACACACACACACACACACAUAACGUCGGCAUGACUUCAGCGUAGUUGAGAUCCAAGCUAGUUCUUCGCGCCCCUCACAGCUCUCCCCCGUCCCAAGUCAACUACCCCAUCCCAGGAUCUCAAAUCCAAGUGCUGCAGGGGAGAUUGGACUCCCAUUUGGGCGGCUUCUCCAGUCCAGUUCUUGGGCAGUGGCAGCGGGGGCGGUGGAGGUGGCGGUGUUCUGUGGCGCCUGGGGAGGCGACACAAGCCCAGUCUCCGGCUGUGUGCGGUCGCCAUGGGUGACAGGAGGACCCCUGCUUUGGAAGGGCUAUAGGGGAAACUGCAGAGCUUGAAACUCUCAGAUGCAAAAAAGAGGAGCACAAAGAUUGGAAGGAAACAUGGCUGCUCGCUGGCGGUAGGAAAGCUACAGGCUGUGGGUAAGCUCUUCUCCGAAAGACCAGCUAAAGCAGAAUAUUUGGGAAAAACUUUAGGCAGCAUUUGGAGUCCCUUCACGGGUGUAGAAUGUAAGGACUUGAAUAGAAAUCGAUUCCUCUUCUCGUUCCAUGAUGUAGAAAGUAAGAGGAAGGCUCUGCAUAAUGGACCGUGGUCGUUUACUAAGGAGUUAUUAGUCAUGGAAGAUUUCAUGCCAAACAAAACGAUUGAUGACUAUGAGUUUAGGACUAUCCCCAUAUGGGUUAGAGCAUAUGGUAUUCCUAUGGGAAUGAUGAACUCAGAGGCAGGGGAGCUGGUGGGAGAAUAGAUUGGGGAGGUCCUGGAUAUAGACAUGGAUGACAAUGGAUAUGCAAUGGGCGAAUUUAUGAGAAUCAAAGUCCGAAUGGACAUAACCGUCCCAAUAAUGAGGUUCUCCACUUUAGAGUUUGGGGAGGAUGAAGGGGAACAAGUUCAGACAUCUGAAUAAAUAAUGGGAGUCGACAAGCACGAGAUGAAGGACAAUAUGGAGGAAAAAGAGAAGCUUAUCUCCCUCAAAUAUGAACAUCUCCCAGAUUUUUGUUAUAACUGCGGUAUUUUAAGUCACAAGGAGAAGUCAUGCCCGAUCAGAACCGGAAGACAGGGACAUAAAAAUUUUGGUCCAUGGCUGCAAGCAACUAUUCUCAGGAGUAGCUCCAGUGAAGAGAAAAGCAGGAGCUCAAAUGACAGAAGGGGUUUCUGGUUAACAAACAAUGCAGGCAGCAAUGGCAGCAAGCAGGGAAGUGAUGCUCCAUCUUGGAAGAGAAAUUCAUCACCGGAUAGGGAUAAUGAUAGGUCAAGGAAAGGUGAGGAGAAUGAAGUAGCAAGCCCCCUGAUAACGGUGCAAGAAAGCAAAACUCAGCCAGCUGAAGUAAGGAGGCCGUCUUUAGAGGAUAAUACACAAGUAUCCGAGACAAAGUGGAAUAAGGCAGAAGAUGACUUUGAACCUAGAAAUAGAAAUACUUCCGAAACAGUUUUAUUGCUAAUAGCUAAAGAGACUGCCAAUAAAAUUUUUUUGCCAGCGGAGGAAGUAAAUGAAGACAAGGAGAGGCCUCAUGUAAAGGUGGACGGACAGAAGAAGGAAAUCAAAGACCCAAAGAAGGUCAACAAUGCAAAACAAGGCACUUUCAAGCGCAUUCCGAGAGCAAAAAAUAAUCAUCAACAAGAUCAGAGCUUUGAAUUUGAAUUGAAAAAGAGGAGUGCUAUGCUGAUGGAGGUAGAUACAGAAGCCAAGCCUUCAAAGAGAACUAGAAUGGAGGUCGACGGUGAGAAUAAUGGAGAUGGUGAAAAAGAAGAAAAUAACAACUCUAAGAUUGUGAACGCUGGGCUGCAAGGACAGCCCGACGAACCAAAAUGAAAAUUACGGUUUGGAAUUGCCGGGGUUUGGGGAAUGACCCGACAGUUCGUGGACUUCUGGACCUCCAAAGGCGGGAGGAUCCCGAUAUCCUCUUCCUAUCCGAGACCAAGACGGAUGAGAAGAGGAUGAGUUGGAUUAAGUAUUUUCUACGUAUGCCAAAUAUGGUUGUAAGAGGCAGUGAAGGUAAGAGUGGAGGGCUAGCUCUGUUAUGGAAGAAACAUGUUAAAGUGGAGUUACACAACUACCCAAGAUACCAUAUCGAUGUGGAGAUAGUGGAGCAAGAUGGUUUUAGAUGGAGGUUUACGGGCAUAUAUGGAGAACCCGCCACUGAAAAGAGGGAGAUAACAUGGAAGCUUCUGAGAAACCUCUACUGCGAGCUUAAUNNNNNNNNNNNNNNNNNNNNNNNNNNNNNNNNNNNNNNNNNNNNNNNNNNNNNNNNNNNNNNNNNNNNNNNNNNNNNNNNNNNNNNNNNNNNNNNNNNNNNNNNNNNNNNNNNNNNNNNNNNNNNNNNNNNNNNNNNNNNNNNNNNNNNNNNNNNNNNNNNNNNNNNNNNNNNNNNNNNNNNNNNNNNNNNNNNNNNNNNNNNNNNNNNNNNNNNNNNNNNNNNNNNNNNNNNNNNNNNNNNNNNNNNNNNNNNNNNNNNNNNNNNNNNNNNNNNNNNNNNNNNNNNNNNNNNNNNNNNNNNNNNNNGACUUGGGCUAUUUAGGUGACAAGUACACAUGAAGAAACCACAGUCAGUGUGCCAGCAAAUAUGUUAAAGAGAGACUAGAUAGAGCAGUGGGAUCCCUAAGUUGGUGUGAUAGGUUUCCAUCUUAUCAGGUGAUAAUUGGGGACCCACGACACUCGGAUCACCGCCUUGUGACCAUUCUAGUGGAGGAGAGAAAUGGAGAAGCGAGAGAUCAAAGGGCCCGUAGGCGGUUCAGAUUUGAAGCGAAGUGGUUACAAGAAGAAGGUUGUGAAGAGAUUAUCAGUAAUGCUAAGGCAGUUGCCUCCCUUCGAGGGGAAUAUGAUCUAUCAAAAAGACUAAUGAAGGUAGGGAGAGAUCUUCAGAACUGGGAUUCCGAGGUACUAGGUGACUUGGGCAAAAGAAUUAAAGCGAUCAAAGUGGAACUGGAGAAAGUCAGAAGGGCCCCAAUUGAUCAGAAUACAGUGUCCCAAGAACACUUCCUGCGCGAGAAGCUGGAUAGGUUGGAGCAGCAACAAGACAUAUUUUGGAAACAUAGGGCUCAUGUUAAUGGUUACAAGCAGGGGAUAAAAACACAUAUUUUUUCCAUGCUUGGGCAUCUGAAAGGAAGAAGAAUACCAUAAAGGGGCUUAGAAGGGAAGAUGACAAUUGGAUUGAGGGUGAUAACUGUUUAAAAGAACAUGUAGCAAGUUAUUUCUUAAACCUCUUCACCUCCACGACUGGUCCAAGCAGCGAACAAAUUCUACAAGAAGUGAUGCUAAGAGUAUCUAAGCAAAUGAACGAGAGCCUUUGUGCAGAGUAUACUGAAGGUGAAGUAAAAGAAGCAGUAUGGAGCAUUGGAGACCUUAAAGCAUCGGGGCCGGACGGAAUGCCAGCAAUUUUCUACAAAAGAUUUUGGCACAUCGUGGGUGAUAAGUUAACAACAGAAGUUCUAAACACUCUCAAAGGUGGUCAAAUGCCGGAGGGGUGGAAUGACACCAUGGUGGUUUUAAUUCCAAAAUCUGCUAACCCACAAAGCAUGAAGGACUUAAGGCCCAUCAACCUCUGCAAUGUUGUAUAUAAGGUGAUCUCUAAAGUAAUCUCAAAUAGACUGAAAAAUAUUUUGCCUAAUAUUAUAUCUCCCAAUCAAAGUGCCUUCGUUCCAGGACGUAUUAUAUCAAAUAAUUUACUUUUGGCAUAUGAGCUAACACAUUUUUUGCAGAGAAGAAGGAAAGGAAAACUUGGAUUCGCGGCGCUAAAAUUGGACAUGAGUAAAGCCUACGACCGGGUGGAAUGGAAAUUUUUGAGAGAAAUGAUGCUUAAGCUGGGGUUUACCUUUGACUGGGUGAAUCUGGUGAUGAAGUGUGUUACAACAGUGAGAUACCAAGUCAAGGUGAGCAAUGAUUGGACAGAGACAAUUAUACCCCGAAAGAGGUUUGAGACAGGGAGACCCUCUCUCACCCUACUUGUUCCUUUUAUGUGCCGAGGGCUUCUCAACUAUACUAUAUGAAGCUGAAAGGAAGGGCAUCUUGCAUGGUAUUAAGCUUUGUAGCAGCUCCAAGUGUGAGUCACCUCCUGUUUCACAGAUGAUUCACUGUUGUUUUUCGAAGCUAAUGCGAGCAAUGCUAAAGCUAUGGGCUCCAUAUUGGAGAAAUAUGAAUCUUGCUCAGGGCAAGUGGUUAAUAAAGAUAAUCAGCUAUCCUUUUUAGCAAGAAAACAAACCAAAGGCAGAAAAGAGAGGUGAUGGAAAUUAUGCAGAUACCAUCUGAAGGUCUCAAAGGAAGAUAUUUGGGAAUGCCAGCUCAUAUAGGGAAGUCAAAAAUAAGAACAUUCCAGUAUAUCAAGGAGAAGAUUUGGAAUAAAAUUCAGGGGUGGAAGGAAAGAUUGUUAUCGAAAUCUGGAAAGGAAGUACUUAUCAAGGCGGCAGCCCAGGCCAUACCUAUGUACACAAUGUCAUGUUUUGACUUAACAAAAUCAUUUUGCGAGGACCUCAGUUCCAUGAUAUGUGGGUAUUGGUGGAGCCAAAUGGAUAAAGUUAACAAGAUACAUUGGACAAGUUGGGAGAAGCUUUCUAAACCUAAGAGAGUGGGAGGACUUGGCUUCAGAGACCUAAAUCAUUUUAACAUGGCCAUGCUGGCAAGUCAAGCAUGGUGCCUCCUCCAACACCCUUCCUCCCUGUGUGCAAGAGUACUAGCAGCAAAAUACCAUCCAGGAAGCAGUAUAAUUGAAGCAACUCCGAGAAAAGGAAUGUCCUAUGCAUGGCGUAACAUCUUAAAAGGUGUUGAGCUCCUAAAAAAAGGCUUGAUUUGGCGAGUGGGAGAUGGCAGAAGCAUAAAUAUAUGGUCAGAUCCGUGGAUACCGAGAGGUAGUACCAGAAGAGUUACUUCUAUCAGAGGAAGACACAUGGUUUCGAAGGUGGAAGAACUAAUUGAUCCAACCACAAACACUUGGGAUAUGCAGCUCGUGCAGCAGACUUUCUACCCCGAGUACGCCGAGAUAAUUCUACUAAUCCCCAUCCAUGAUAACACUAGUGAUUUCAUCGCUUGGCGUUUUGAUAAGAAAGGAAUUUUCUCGGUAGAAUCAGCUUAUAAGGUGGCUGUGGAUAAUGCUGAACAAGAGUCAUCAUGGGGACAAGCGUCUAGUAGUUCUUGUAACAAUGAAGGGACACAUUUUAACUGGAAAAAACUUUGGGCCCUUCCCCUGCAAGGUAAGAUCUUGCACUUCUUGUGGCGCUUAGCAACAUACAACUUACCAUUAAGAAUGAAACUGAAGCACAGGGGUUUGGAUGUGGAUACUAGAUGCCCAAUUUGUUUUAGAUUUGAGGAGGUUGGAGGACAUUGCUUCCUGAAAUGGAAAGAUGUGAGAAAGGUGUGGGGGAUAGCCCAAAUGGAACAUAUUAGACUGAAAUUGUUGCCAUGCACUAAUCCUCAAUGCCUCCUGGAAGAAGUGUUUAAGCUAAAUGAAGAAGAAUGUCUGAAGGUGUGUACAUUACUUUGGUUAAUUUGGCACCAAAGAAACAAAGCCAAUGUAGGAGAUAAAAUUAAAUCCUCAUUUGAUAUUUUGUCCUCUAUUAGUCACCAUACUUAUGAAUACAGGAAUCUCAAGCCGAGGAGGAUGACCCAAAAGUAAGUAAAUAUUCAAAAAUGGACGCCUCCACCAAGUGAGUUUUUGAAAAUAAACACUGAUGUUGCAUUUCAUGAAGUUACACAUUCUGGAGGGCAGGGGUUCACUGUAAGAGAUGAUUGUAGAACGCUUAUAGCUGCAGGUGCAGGAAAUCUGGAACAUAUAUCUCUGAUGCCCUACAUGCUGAAACACUAGCACGCCCUACAUGCUGAAACACUAGAACUUUUAAACGCGAUUAAUGCAACAAUCAACAUGGGGUGUCACCAAGCAAUCUUUGAGACGGACUCCAUAGUAGUAUUGAAAAGCAAUCUCAAGUCAGGACUAUGACCUAGCGUCACUUGGAGCUCUGUUCCAGAAGAUAAAGUUUCAAAUGAGAGUCGACUUUGAUAAUGUAAAUCUUUAUGCGUGUCCAAGGUCUUGUAAUAAUGCAGCGCAUGCCUUAGCUGCACAUGGAACUAGUUUAGGGAAUGGCACUUAUGAGUUCUGGUUAGGCCAUUUCCCUAAUGCUGUAAUGAACUCUGUAGUGAUUUAACCAGCAGUUUAAUGUAAUGGAAUACCAUUUGUUCCCUUCACACACACACAAAAAAAACAGUAGAUGAACGCACAAGUGGCAACGCUAGAAUAAAUGUUGGACCGAAUUUCCUCUCCUAUCCGGUGGCGCAUCAAGCGGCAACGAACGAACGACGACGAUCGCGUGAGGCGCGCACGCACGUAGGGCCUGGACGUACGCCUCUGCAUGCGCGACUGACCCCUCACCGUUAACGCACGCAGAGGAGAGACGCACGAAUGAUCCAUAGACCAUAGAGCUAGCCGGCCGGUCAGACACGCGAUCCCGAGAUCGACAAGGACGAGGACGGCACAGAUGCGCAUGCGCCAUGACGUACGCCCGCAUACGGGGCAGAGGUCUCGAAAGCACGCGCUCCUACAGCUGCAUACCGGGAGGGACGGACAGACGGACGAGAUCGACGGUCGACAGCGAUCGAGUCGAGCGCGCUGACCUUUGAAAUUUGAAUACUGCGCUAGCCGGGCGAAAUACCUACAGUAGACAGUAGUACGUAGCUGGAGCCUGGCUUGUGUGGUGCAGCUCGCUCCGACCCAAGGCCGCAGGCAGCAGCGUUCCACUCGUGCGCGCGCCGCCCGUGGAUUGCCGACUGGAUCGGGCACAGGUUUUUCAAUGAUUAUACCGUCGGGAGAACAACGGCCGUUGCUCCGGUCGCGGUCAAGAUUCUCCGCACCGUUGGAUUGAACUAGCUUCGUUCCGUCUCGUCUCAUCCCUGUCCCGAUCGCGUCUACGAUCCAGCCAGGAUUUAUAUAGACUGGGAAAAGUGCGGGAAGACAGCAACGGGUUGGCAUAUUACCUUUCUCAUGUACGUUGUAAGAAGAUGUUUUUUUUUUCACGAGAAACUUUUAACCUAUUCAUCUUCAAUCAUGGCAGUAUAAGGAACGACAAAGAUGAUAAAAAUUACAACCAUGUCUGUGGACCACCUACCGACGACUACAAGUAUUGAAGCGAGCCGAAGGCGCGCCGCCAUCAUCACCCCUCCCUCACAGACGCCGGGCAAACCUUGUUAUAGUAAACGAUCGGGAAGUCGUCGUGCUAAGACCGCAUAGGACCAGCGCAUCAGCGUAGCAACCAACGCCGAUGAAGAAAGUCGUACAUCAGAAGGAUCAAACCUGUAAACACCCAAAUGAGACGAAUGAAGUCCGGAUCCAAACAAAUCCACCGAAGUAAGAAUCCACGAGCCAUCAGUUUAUCUUUAGAAAUUCUCCCAUCCUUCAACCACCGAGAUAAAUGAUGAAAAUUCUAAGUUAGACCGUACCGCAGAAUGAAAAAAAUACGAGAGAAAUGCAAGGACAUAAAUAUUGAAGGAGGAAGUUUGUUACCAAGCCAAAGAAGCUAGCUAUCCCACAUUGUCUCCUGCAGGAUAUGCUUCAUCACUUAUUCAAUUGAUGUACGAAGAAAAACUAGUGCUGCCUUGACAAGAACAUAUUGUAUCCAUCAUUUAAUAAUAGUGAAAUAAGAUUUGGGUGGGACCGGACGGUGGUUUCUUCCCCGACUUCGUGGUUCCUGCGUUAAAAUUUGGUGUUCAUAUGUUGAUGUUAUUACUGUAGUUCGGAGUGGUUUUCGGGACCUCAGACAAUUUCUAGGCAUUGCUUGAAGCUUUCUCAAGACCUAAGACACCGUCUUAUGUGUGGCUUUCGCCAGGUCCUCCAUAUAUGUAUAUGCAUGUUUUCCUUCCUCGUGAGCAAUGGUCAUUCAAGUUAGUGCAUGAAGUAGCCUUAAAAUUAUACAUUGAUCCCGCUGUAGUUUCCAGAUUACCAUAAAAUGUGUACUAAUUCCGAACACAUCGAUGAAGACACAUGAUGAAAAUAAAUAAACUGAAUCUACGAAGACUAUUACCGUGCCAUGGCCAUUCAACAUUAUCCAAUUAGUGCCAUCUCACUACUUUAUGCUUAUACUCCCUCCGUCCCGUAAUGUAAGACGUUUUUUGACACUACAAUAGAGUCAAAAAACGUCUUACAUUAUGGGACGGAGGGAGUAUAUAUUUAUUAUGAGGGUAAACUAUUUUUUAGCUUCAUAGAGAAUAAGUAGUGGUAGAUGCUUACAACGUAUAAUAGUUGAUGGCUUGGUGCCCUUGGCUUCGCACUGACCACAUUGUUCUAUCAGCGUGUUGCCAUCCCCACCUCACCGGUGUUGGCGAUUGCCACCUUCAGAGGUCUUCGUUACAUCCUCGUCCAUUCAUGCAUACAUGGUCUCUCUGUUCGUUUCUCUUCUCCUCGCUCUUCUCUCGUUGUAUGUUUGCUCAUCCAUAGGGAUGGCAGAAAUGGGCAGAAAUGUUGUCAUGCAGAGAAUGUAAAGAGAGACAGAUAAUACAAAGAACGUAAAGAGAAACAAAUAAUACAACACCUUAGAUGGCUAGACAUGAAGAUAAUGAACAUAUGAGUGAAAACUACGAAUUAAGAAAGGUUGGCUCUGAUUUAGCAAAAUCAACAGUUGUGACAUCAAAAUAUGCCAACAAUCUAUCAUUGCACGAGACUUUUGCUAAUUUGUAGUUAUCUAUUGUUUUUUAAUAUUCUUUACUUUAAAUUGCAUGAUUCACAAAAAUAAUAAUUGCACACCACUAUGGUGAAACCGAACUUUUUGAAGGUGUGCCACUUCUGCGAAGUAUACUACUAUAUGAAUUGACUUGGAGAUCCAUGACGGGUUGGGUAUUCAUACGAAUGCUUAGAAAUGUGAUUCUGGUUUAAAAAAGUUUCAGGUAACUCAUGAAUAGACAACACCUGUCAUUCUGUCAAUGCCCAUCACCACCCUUUUUUAACAUAGUAGAAUGAACGACAGGAAUUGACCAAAUCAAGAGUUUUGCAUAAUAUUAAUAUCUACUUAACUGGAUAGUAUAGUAUUGCAUAAUAAUAAUAUAAUAUCAAGGGAGUAUAGGUUUUUAUCUAGCCGAAGACCAGAGUUAACUAGUUGAUUACCACGCAAAAGAGAGAGUUAACUAGUUAAUUUUGGACCGGCUUAACCAGCGAAUGUCCGCUGGGCGGAUGGCAAUUGCGAACAAUUUUGAUGACAAUUGUGUUGGCCGAUGAUGGCAAAUUUUGUUAGCAAGCGUGGCAACUCUACCCAGUUCUGUUUUCCAUCAGGAUUUGCCGUGCUUGCAAACUAAAAUUGUCAUCCUCAUGACAAUAUAAAUUGUCAUAAAAAACAUUCGAAACUCCAUAGAGACAUGUUCCACUUGUAUAGGUCAAACAAAAUGAUCACCCAAAGUUAAUCUCUUUCUUUUGUGUCCCCCCCACACACACACUUACAUUUUCUGUUUCUAAUUUAGGAGCUCAACCUCCAAAUUUCAUUUUCAUGAAAUCGGUAAUACAAAGAACAUCCAACACACGCGCUUACAUGCAUGCAUAGAAUAGAUCUUCUUUCGUUUCACUUUUACAAUCUAAAUCAGCUAGGCGUGUGUGUGGGGUUGAGACGUCAAAGUAUAUGCAAAUUAAGCACCUGCAGCUCGAUCUGUGUAUGCGCGCGCAGAUUCCUCUCGGUUCUGCAUGCAAGCCGCUCCUGCUAGCUAGCUGCGCGCCUAGAGCUCACCUCCUACCGCCAGCCGCCGUCUGCGAGAAGAAGAAGGAAGCCGGCGUGGACUUGGCCGGGCUGAGCACCCGGUACCCCGCCGGCCGGACCUUGAUGUUCCCGCUGCCGGCGCGCUGCAGGCCGCAUAUGGGCGUCGACGGGGCCACGGCGGCCUCGCCAUCGUCGUCGUCCUGGACGUCGUGGUCCAUGUGCCAGAGCACGUCGAGGAAGGCGUCGACGGAGCAGGGCAGCGCGAGCGGCCCCUGCGCCGCGUAGCCGUACUCCUGCUCUGCGUCGUCGAGGAGGCGGCGGAAGAGCGGGUGGUUGGCGCGGUCGGCGCGCACCACGAACCGCUCCCGCUCCGGCCCAACGUACACCGAGAAGCACCCGGGCGCCACCGCCGCCGACGACCGGCCACCGCUGGCCAGCCCGGAUCGGCACCGCUCCAGGGUCCUCGACACCAGGCUCUUCCUCGCGCCCUUGCUCGCCGCCAUAUAUGCCGCCGGUGGACGUCGACCGACUCGAGACGGGGCUGGUGGCCAAGAGUGGAUGCGCCGGCCGGAUUGUAAGGAUGAUGGCAUGCAUGAGAGAGGGGGCCGGCCGGGUUAUGUGUAUAUAUAUGUGUACAAGCUAGGCAAGGUUGCCAAGGUAGGUGUAUAGGUAGCUAGCAGCUAGCAGAAGACGGAGGGCGACACGGCGUGCGGUGUGACAUGGUGGGCUAGCCCCAUUAGUUGACCUGACGCGAGGGCAUGCAUUGACUUAUGACUCGCGCGCCGUGAGCUGCAGCAGCGCAGGGUCAUAUGGUGCAGGACAGACCAGGACGAUCGAGGACGAGGAGGAAGGCAAGGUAGAGAUGUGCUCCUGCACUCUAAGUAAUAUAAUUAGGGUAAUUAACAACUGACUGAUUGCUGGGCCAGCUAAUUAACUAAGUGGUUAGCAAUAGAUACUCAGCUACUAUAUGAGUAGUAGUACUACUGGCGCAUCGACGGAGAAAAGGAAGCAAGUGGAUUUUGCGAUUGCAGCGGCUGGGGAAAAAGCUAAUCAGGGAAAGGUACGUGGUGUGGGGACUUAAUCCGGGUGGGAUAUAUCAAAUGGGCAAUAAUUGUCUUAGUUUAGUGGUGGACGCCAUGGUCAACGCCUUCCGAAUGUGAUGUGGAAGAAGCUCUGCAUCUGCAUGGCCAGGCUUUUGCUAUGCUACACAAGCACCAGCUCAGGAUCUCUUGUGCGUAAAGAUCCAUAUUUUCAGUGGGGAUUACAUUAUUAGGAGUAUAUUCCACUUUCAACUCUCGUGUUGUGACUUUGUGACAUCUUUUUAUCACAUUUCAAAAAUCUUGUCAGAUUCUGCACCCUAGUUGUGCUCUUGUAACCUGUAUUUUCACCUACUUCUGUUUUUACCCCCAAUGUUAAAGCUGAAUUCACUUCUUUUUAAAGAAGUACCCAUAUAUAUUAUGAAGGUUCAUAAGAAGUACUACAAAGCAUCCUAAACAUAGUAACUUUUACAUCGAGGACCAUGCACAACUGAGCGAGCAAUCCUGCCGCCAGAACGAGUCGCCGAUGCAUUGCUGUUGCUGCUCCCUUACUCGAGUUGGCUUGACUUUGUCGAUGGCAGCCGGGAAAUCUUCCUGACGUGCCCUUGAGGACCAACGACCCAGAAAGCAAUCGUUGACAUUGAACCCUUGAAUCGAUCUGAAGUGCCUGCCACCAAAUCUCAUCACAUGUUUUAGUUACACACGCACCAGUUAAUGGAUUUGUUCUGCACAAAGAUCGAUAUUCCAGUGAUGGUCAGUAUCUUCUACUUUCUACUCUAGUGUUGUGAGUUGUGACUUUGUGCAUAUUUUAUCACAUUUGCAAAAUCUUGUCAGAUUUGGUGACAUGUAUUUCUUACCUAAUUUUGUUUUUACCACAAACAAAAAGCUAAACCCACUUGUUAGGACGGUGGAGGCGGUUCGAAUACAUCCAACAACUCUAUCACGUCUUAGUUAGUUUGGUCGCCACGGCUGACACCAAUGGGUGUGUGGUGUACUGGUGUUUUGGUUCUCGUUAAUCGACGAUCUUGAUCUAGCGGAUUGUAACGAUAUGCUUCGGCUGACUUAACGGUUGUGGUGGCAAAUGGCGGUGUUAAGAAUUUUUUGGUCAUUGGCUCUCAUGUUUAGUGCAGUGUGCUCGUAUUUUUUUCCAGCCUGUAUGGUGAGAAAGCAAUGGUCCGACAAUCUAUCUUGUGAGGGUGUGUAUUUAGCCUUGGCAAAUUCAACGAUAUAAGGUUUUCACUUAUUGGGGUCGACAACUUAUACAUUCACAAUUUCCCGCAAAAGAAAACUUCUACAUUCACAAUAUUUGAGGUUUGUCUAGCUUGUGCAGGCUUAUGUUCUUGCAAUGUUUUUUCACCAAAGGCAUGGAAGAAAUAGUUAAGAUGUAAAAAGUACAACAAUAAACGACGACUUUGAAGUACCACGAUGUAAUUUUAUUUUAUCGGAAUGUUUGUUUCAGUGUCCUAAAUUUGAUGUACUUUAUUUGGUAACGCAAUAAAUAAUGUGUGGAAAAGGUAAACUCUAUAUGCCCAGAUUUAUUAGGAUAGAAGUCGGAGGAAAAAUAUACUCUUGAGUUAAUCAUACCGUUUUUCUUAGCGAGGCUGAUCGAUCCAGAUAUUUAGAUAUAUUUAGAUGAAGAUGUUUUCUUUGAAAUUUCUGUGGGGAGAUUUAUAUAGCCGAAGUACACGUGCCGAGAGAGAUGCAAUGACGUCCUUGUAAAUUAAGAUACUUCUGGAUAAGAUAACAAUAAGCUUGACAGUUCUCACAUACUCCAGAAAAUGACACUGGUUCUGAGUGUAAUAGAUUAAUAUGCCCCAGUAGGAACACACAGGAACGAAAACAACACACGGGUAUAUGAAAACCACAUAAUUCAUUGGAGUUCUUAUGUAUAAUUUUUAGAUUCCCUACAUAACAUUAGAGCAGAAGAGAAACCAAAAGGGCAGUUUGGGUGUCGUGUCACACAGGGAAGUAUUUCAACUAUUCAACUGGUUAGGGCUUCCUUGGUUCACCAGCUCGGUUAUUUUUCUCAUCAACUGACUGAGACCUUGGUACGUACUGGUGUAGGUGAGGGCUGGUGAUGGAUCGAAAUUGAUGUCGUCAUUUCGGUUGAAUUAACUACCAAUUGAUUAAUCCACCAAUCAAAUUGUUUAUUCUGCUGAAUUUAUCAAAUCCAGCAAUCCAUUUAUUUAUUCAUCAAUCAUAGAAGGCAUAUAGUAUUUCUGCUGAAUCGAUUAAACAAUCAAUCCAGUGUCCGAUCUAUGUGUUCAAAUAUGUCACUCUGAUGAACUAAACACUUAAUCAAGAAACCAAUUUAUUAUCAAAUACAUCUACCGUUGCUAUUGAAUUAAACCGGCAACAAAGUACUCCCUCCGUUUUUAUUUACUCUGCAUAUUAAAGUUGAUUGAAGUCAAACUUCGUAAAAUCUGACUAAGUUUAUAGGAAACAAUAUAAAUAUUUAUCAUAACAAAUAUAUAUGACGUGAAAGUACAUUCAAUAAUAAAUCUAAUGAUAUUAAUUUUUUAUUGUAUAUGUUCAUAUUUUUUAUUAUAAACUUUGUCAAAGUUUACAACGUUUGACUUUGACCAAAGCCAAUACACGGACUAAAUAAAAAUAGAGGGAGUAGUACUCCCUUCGUUCGGAAAUAAGUGGCUUGAUUUUAGUUUUCCGAACGGAGGGGUCAAGAAUUCAAUUUCUUUUUAUACGAGUCAUCCUUGUACUCGUUCAGCUAGUUGGUUAGGUAGGAAAGAGUAGUCUCAUCUCAACAUCAGAGAGAAAGUAAUGGAACAUCAACCUAAGCUAACGUGUGUUACUAACACAUAAAACAUGGAGUAUACUGCUCUACCCGUUGACCAGGACAAUUCCGUUCUUUGUCUUGUAAUCAACGUGUUUAUCACAUAUGGUCAAUCGAUUCUGGAACUACCUAUUCAAUCAAAUGAAAAAUAAUUCCAAGCUUUGACUUGUUUUCAAAAAGAGCAAAUAGAAUUCGCUCACUGGAUACCAAAUUGGAGUAUUAUAUGAUCAAUCAGAAUGCACCCAUCGAAUCAAGUAUUUCCAUAGUACUUCAAAUAAUAAACUUGUAGCUUUAUUUUCGGUAAUAGACAACUCAUAUAGUUGUCUUGUGGCCAUCUCGUUUUUUAAUCUCUCUCAAAAAUAAACCGCAUUAUUUUCUCUAAGAAGCUUGCAUAAUUACUUAGGAAAGUGUAGAACACAUUAUUUUGGCUACCUUCAUACAAGGUAUAUACAAUGAAACAAUGUGUCAAAAUGUCUUAAAAUCUACGCAUACACUAAAAAUAUGAGCAAAUCCCACAUUUUACCCCCAACUGUGACCUUGCGAUAACAUUUACCCUAUCUAAAAAAAUAUUGCAUUUUACCCCUUAGUAACAACCUUAACCUUGUGACAACAUUUGCCCCAUCGUAUUCUCUUGACCAAACUAACAAUGUUUGUGACGAUUACUUAAUUAGGAGUAUUAUUUCACUUUCUACUCUCGUGUUGUGACUUUGUGACAUAUUUUUACCUCAAGUGAGAAUCUUGUCUGACUUUUGCAUUGUAUUUGUGCUCUUGUGACAUGUAUUUCUUUACCUACUUUUGUUUUAUCCAUGGCAAAAAGUUGAACCCACUUAUUAGAAUGGCAUGAAAAUUGACGGUGGAUAACAUGAAAGCAUAAUUGUUAGUAGCGUACAAGAUUAUGCCAAAUCCUUUCAAAUUUCACUAAUUUUUGUGGAAUUUAUGAAAUGCGUUAAAUUAUUGCAAAUAGGUGUAGCUAGUUGCAAGGCACGGCUCCAGUGUGACCAUGUCAUCGCAGAUAUACCCUAACAUAUAUGAGAACGAGCUGUCUGCCUAGUCAGUUGGCACGACAUGUGCAUCCGAAUUACCAGUAAUGGUGAAAAUAAUAAAGUAGGAUAAAUAACGGUGAAGACAAUCAGUAUGCCACACUAGUUAGAUCGAUAAUCAGAUUAAGAGAGACACCUCCCCUCUUGCCACUAUGCAUGUUCCUUUGGUUCCCCUCUCCAUCGAUGCUCUUUCUAGCACCAUGAGGUCCCCCCCCCGCGUGUGUGUGUGUGUGUGNNNNNNNNNNNNNNNNNNNNNNNNNNNNNNNNNNNNNNNNNNNNNNNNNNNNNNNNNNNNNNNNNNNNNNNNNNNNNNNNNNNNNNNNNNNNNNNNNNNNNNNNNNNNNNNNNNNNNNNNNNNNNNNNNNNNNNNNNNNNNNNNNNNNNNNNNNNNNNNNNNNNNNNNNNNNNNNNNNNACAUCUCUUCAAAUUAUAGGAGGUUCAUCUAGUUUACUUUUUUUGCAGCUUUUUCACCAAAGAUAUGUAAGAAAGUCGAGAUGCAAGUGUUGAAACUAGAAAUGACGACUUUGAAUUACCCUGAUGUAUUUUUUUUGUUUUGUCAUGAAUAUUUGGUGCUAAUGUUUGUUUCAAUGUCCUCGAUAUGACAUGCUUGUCUUGGUUAUUUAAUAAAUCGGACCAUUGGCAAAAACACUGAAAUAUGUCAAGAUUGUUUAGGACAAAAGUUGGUAAAAAGAACAAAUAUACACAGUAAUUAAUGCCAUUUUGUCUUAGCGAGGUUGAUGACCCAGAUAUAUUUUCUUCAAAGUUUACAUGGAGAGAAAGUACACGUGUCAAGAGAGACUCAGUGCCGUUGCAAGUUUUUUUUUUUGAGGGGACAGUGCCGUUGUAAGUUAGGAAUAUACUUCCGGAUAAGAAUGAGCUUGGACAGACGACAGUGAUCCUGGAUACAAUAGAUUAAUAUACCUUUUUUUUAGAUUCCUAGCAGGAUGGUCUAAAAAAAUGCUAACAGGAUAAUAGAACAGGAGAGAAACCAGCAAUGCAGUUUGGGUGUCGUGUCACACAGGCAAGUAUCAACUGGUUAGAUUCCGUUCACCAGCUCGGUUGUUUUUCUCAUCAACCGACAGAGACAUUAGAAAUACUCCCUCUAUAAAGAAAUAAAAGAGCGAACUAGUGAUGUAAAGGCUCUUCUAUUUGUUUACAGAGGGAGUAUGUAGGAGCUUUUGAUGGAUCAAACUAGUGUGGUCACUUCCGUUGAAUCAACUAGUAACUGAUUAAUCUAGCAACCAAAUUGUUUAUUCUGUCAAAUUGAUCAAAUCCAGCAACCAAAUUGUUUAUUCUAUUGAAUUUAUCAAAUCCAGCAAUCAAUUUAUCUAUUCAUCAAUCAUCACAAGACAUAUACACAUUCCCGAUGAAUAAAUUGAACAGUCAAUCUGGUGUCCAGUCUAUCUAUUCAAGUAUGCCAUCUCUGUUUAAUAAACAGUUAAUCAACUAUCAGUUCAUUUAUCUAAUACAUGCCAUUCUGUUGUCUACAGAAUGAUUUGGUGCAUCGAUAAUUGAUUGAUCAUGCACUAGGCACAUAUAUAUAGGUACAAGGGGUGCGACCGGCAUCUUGUCUCCUAAGAUACACAUACAUACAGAGGGAGACAGACACUACAGGUACUGCAUACAAAACCCAGACCUACGUACAUGUACACAUGUUCAACACCCCCCGCAGUCGAAGCGUCGCCGGUGACGCAGAGACUGGAUCGAAAGCCCUCGAAGGUCGAGGUGGGUAGUCCCUUCGUCAUGACAUCGGCAGACUGCUGAUCGGUAGGCACAUGUAGAACACGAACACGACCAAGUGCGACGUGCUCCCUCCUCCCUGACGAAGUGGAUGUCGAGCUCAAUAUGCUUCGUCCGUCGGUGAUGGACAGGGUUGGCAGCAAGGUACACUGUGGAGACGUUAUCACAGUAGACGAGCGUCGCCUUGGUAACCUCACAUAGCAACUCCUGAAGUAGUUGUCGUAGCCAAGAGCACUCCACAACGGCGUUGGCCACGGCCCGAUACUCAGCCUCGGCGCUCGAUCGUGAGACCGUGGGUUGUCGUUUAGACGACCACGAAAUCAUAGAGGGACCGAGGUAGACGCAGUAGCAGGAAGUGGAGCGUCGAGUGUCGGGACACCCAACCCAGUCGGCGUCGGAGUAGGCGACAAGGCUGGUGUCAGGUGAUGCCGUCAGGGUGAGACCCAUGGCUGUGGUGCCACGUAUGUACCGAAGUAUACGUUUCACGAGAGCCCAAUGAGUGUCACGAGGAGCAUGCAUGUGAAGGCACACCUGCUGGACAACGUAUUGAAUGUCCGGACGCGUCAGUGUGAGAUACUGAAGCGCACCGACAAUGGAGCGGUAGAAGGGAGCGUCGGACGCCGGAGAACCCUCGACGACAGACACCUUAGCCUUCGUGUCGACAGGCAUGGGAGCAGGCUUACAGUUAAGCAUCCCCGCUCGCUCCAGAAGCUCGUAGGCGUACUUCUGCUGGUGCAGGAAGAAGCCAGUAGCCCGGCGCACGACCUCGAUGCCGAGGAAGUAGUGGAGAGCCCCCAAGUCCUUGAGCGCAAAUUCGGUGCCGAGGCGAGCUGUGAUCUGCUGAAGGAGUGCUGGCGAUGAUGCAGUCAGGAUGAUGUUGUCGACAUCAAGUAGGAGGUAUGCGGCGGCGGGGCCCUGGUGAUAGACAAACAGGGAGGCCUCGGAUCGUCUGGACCGGAACCCCUGUUGCUGAAGGAAGGUCGCGAUCCGCUGGUACCAGGCCCGAGGUGCCUGCUUCAACCCGUAGAGAGAACAGGAGAGCAAGCACACGUGGUCCGGAUAGUCAGUGUCGACAAAACCAGUAGGCUGCUGACAGAACACCUGCUCGUCGAGAUGGCCAUGCAGUAAAGCAUUAGACACAUCGAGCUGGUGGACUGGCCAGGCGCGAGAAACAGCAAGCUGGAGAACAGCGCGAAUCGUGCAUGGUUUGACAACCGGGGCGAAGGUGUCGGUGAAGUCCACGCCGGCACGCUGGCGGAAGCCGCGCAACACCCCCAUCGGGGCGAGUCUUGUGGUGGAAGACCCACUUGCCAGUGAUGACAUUGGCACGGGGAGGCCGCGGAACAAGCUGCCACGUACGGUUGCGCUGCAGGGCGUCAAACUCCUCAAGCAUCGCAGCUAGCCAGUUCGGAUCCCAAAGGGCUGCGCGAGCGGAGGUGGGGAGCGGAGACGGCGCCGAGGUAGAUGCAGCACACGCGUACUCGUCCGACGGGUAGCGCGUGCUUGGACAAAGUGCACCAGUCCGAGCCCGAGUGACCACACCGGUGAGGGGUGCGGCCGCAGCGAUGGGGGCCGCGGGGGCCGCGGUGGGGGCCUCGGCGGGGGCCGCGGCGACGGGGGCCACAGCAAGGGGCGCGGCGAUGGGGGCCGCCACAGGGGCCGCAACAGCAGGGGACGCCGGCGUAGGGAGCGCAGGCAGGGCUGAGUCCGGUGCACGGCUGGGCGGCACGCCAGAGGUGGAGGCAGGGGCGAGCCACGCCGCGGGAGACGCCAAAGGUGAAGAUACCUGCUGAAACGGGAACACCAGCUCAUCAAAGUACACAUGCCACGAAGUGAAAAUGCGGUGGGACACUGGAUCAUAGCACCGGUAACCUUUGGUGUUGGGAGGAUAACCAAGGAAAAUGCACGGAAGCGACUGGGAGCGAGUUUGUGAGGAGCAGUGGACGCGGUGCUAGGAUAACAGAGACACCCGAAGAUGCGAAGACCAUCAUAAGAUGGAGCCGCAUCGAAGAGGAGCUGGUGAGGAGUGUAGUUCCAGCGGGAACGAUAGGGGCGAAUGUUAAUAAGGAGGCUGGCGGUCGCGAGCGCGUCCGGCCAGAACCGAGGAGGCACGUAGGAGUGGAAGAGCAACGUGCGGGCACAAUCAUUAAGAGUGCAAAGGACGCACUCGGCGCGACCAUUCUGCUGGGACGUGUAGGGGCAGGUGAGACGAAAGAUGGUGCGGUGGGACGUAAGUAAAUUGCGGACGACGACAUUGUCAAACUCCUUGCCGUUGUCAGUUUGCAAGGCGAGAAUAGGACGACCGAACUGUGUGGUGACAUAUGAAUAAAAGGCUGUGAGUGUGGCAAGAGCGUCGGACUUGCGACGGAGAGGGAAUGUCCACACAUAAUGAGAAAAAUCAUCCAAUAUCACCAAAUAGUAUACAUAGCCCGUGUUGCUAGCAACUGGGGACGUCCAAACAUCACUAUGCAAUAACUAAAACGGAAAUGUGGAAAUGUUUGUAGACUUGCUAAAGGGAAGACGAACGUGCUUGCCAAGACGGCAAGCCUCACACGUGUGAUCGUCGACCUUAUUACAUGAGAAAGAAAAACUCUGAAGAAUCUGACGCAUAGCGGCGGAGUUGGGAUGACCGAGACGGGCAUGCCAAGGAUCGACACUAGCGGCGAAGGCGACAGGACGACGGUUGGUGGUGGCGCCGGAGGGAUGCACUGGGUAAAGCUCGUCCGGGCUGUCACAUCGGUGGAGUACCAUCUGUGUACGGGCGUCCUUCACAGAAAAACCGAUAUCGUCAAAUUCAACAGUGAUAGGAUUCUCACGGGCAAGGUGACGAACAGAAACAAGAUUAGUGACUAAGUCAGGAGACACGGGAACAUUAGACAUAUUGACAUGAGUAGAAGUAGAGGGAAAAGACAUAUGACCGACAUGUGUAAUGGGUAGGGAGGAACCGUUACCAACGGUGAUACGGGUGGGAGUAUGAACGGGAGUGGCAGACGUGAGGUUACCGGGAUGAGAAGUCAUGUGAGCGGUGGCGCCCGAGUCCAUGUACCAGUCACCACCGCCACCGUAGGAGCUUGGUGACGGGGCGGAGUGAAGGAAAUAUGCCCUAGAGGCAAUAAUAAAGUUAUUAUUUAUUUCCUUAUAUCAUGAUAAAUGUUUAUUAUUCAUGCUAGAAUUGUAUUAACCGGAAACAUAAUACAUGUGUGAAUACAUAGACAAACAGAUUGUCACUAGUAUGCCUCUACUUGACUAACUCGUUGAUCAAAGAUGGUUAUGUUUCCUAGCCAUAGACAUGAGUUGUCAUUUGAUUAACGGGAUCACAUCAUUAGGAGAAUGAUGUGAUUGACAUCACCCAUUCCGUUAGCUUAGCACACGAUCGUUUAGUAUGUUGUUAUUGCUUUCUUCAUGACUUAUACAUGUUCCUAUGACUAUGAGAUUAUGCAACUCCCGUUUACCGGAGGAACACUUUGUGUGCUACCAAAUGUCACAACGUAAUUGGGUGAUUAUAAAGGUGCUCUACAGGUGUCUCUGAAGGUACAUGUUGGGUUGGCGUAUUUCGAGAUUAGGAUUUGUCACUCCGAUUGUCGGAGAGGUAUCUCUGGGCCCUCUCGGUAAUACACAUCACUUUAGCCUUGCAAGCAUUGCAACUAAUGAGUUAGUUGCGGGAUGAUUUAUUUGGAACGAGUAAAGAGACUUGCCGGUAACGAGAAUGAACUAGGUAUUGAGAUACCGACGAUCGAAUCUCGGGCAAGUAACAUACCGAUGACAAAGGGAACAACGUAUGUUGUUAUGCGGUCUGACUGAUAAAGAUCUUCGUGGAAUAUGUGGGAGCCAAUAUGAGCAUCCAGGUUCCGCUAUUGGUUAUUGACCGGAGACGUGUCUCAGUCAUGUCUACAUAGUUCUCGAACCCGUAGGGUCCGCACGCUUAACGUUACGAUGACAGUUAUAUUAUGAGUUUAUAUGUUUUGAUGUACCGAAGGUUGUUCGGUGUCCCGGAUGUGAUCACGGACAUGACGAGGAGUCUCGAAAUAGUCGAGACAUGAAGAUUGAUAUAUUGGAAGCCUAUGUUUGGAUAUCGGAAGUGUUCCGGGUGAAAUCAGGAUUUUACCGGAAUACAGGGAGGUUACCGGAACCCCCCGGGAACAUAAUGGGCCUUGGUGGGCCUAGGUGGAAGAGAGGAGAGGCGGCUAGGGCUGGGGCGCGCGCCCCUCCCCCCCAGUCCGAAUAGGACAAGGAGAGGGGGGCGGCGCCCCCCCUUCCUUCUUCUCCUGCACUCCUUCCCCCUCCCAAGUCCUAAUCAACCUAGGAAAGGGGGAGGGAGUCGGCGUGCCCUCUCCCUUGGCCGGCCGCACCCCCCUUGCUCCUUUAUAUACGGGGGCAGGGGGCACCCCAAAGAGACAACAAUUGAUCGUUUGAUCUUUUAGCCGUGUGCGGUGCCCCCCUCCACCAUAGUCCACCUCGAUAAUACUGUAGCGGUGCUUAGGCGAAGCCCUGCGUCGGUAGAACAUCAUCAUCGUCACCACGCCGUCGUGCUGACGAAACUCUCCCUCAACACUCGGCUGGAUCGGAGUUCGAGGGACGUCAUCGGGCUGAACGUGUGCUGAACUCGGAGGUGUCGUACGUUCGGUACUUGAUCGGUCGUAUCGUGAAGACGUACGACUACAUCAACCGCGUUGUGCUAAUGCUUCCGCUUACGGUCUACGAGGGUACGUAGACUACACUCUCCCCUCUCGUUGCUAUGCAUCACCAUGAUCUUGCAUGUGCGUAGGAUUUUUUUUGAAAUUACUACGUUCCCCAACAGUGGCAUCCGAUCCUGGUUUUAUGUGUAGAUGUCAUAUGCACGAGUAGAACACAAGUGAGUUGUGGGCGAUAUAAGUCAUACUGCUUACCAGCAUGUCAUACUUUGGUUCAGCGGCAUUGUGAGAUGAAGCGGCCCGGACCGACAUUACGCGUACGCUUACGCGAGACUGGUUUCACCGCCACGAGCACUAGUUGCUUAAAGGUGACCGGCAGGUGUCUGUCUCUCUCACUUUAGUUGAACCGAGUGUGGCUACGCCCGGUCCUUGCGAAUGUUAAAACAACACCAACUUGACAAACUAUCGUUGUGGUUUUGAUGUGUAGGUAAGAACGGUUCUUGCUCAGCCCGUAGCAGCCACGUAAAAUUUGCAACAACAAAGUAGAGGACGUCUAAAUUGUUUUUUGCACGGCAUGUUGUGAUGUGAUAUGGUCAAGACAUGAUGCUAAAUUUUAUUGUAUGAGAUGAUCAUGUUUUGUAACCGAGUUAUAGGCAACUGGCAGGAGCCAUAUGGUUGUCGCUUUAUUGUAUGCAAUGCAAUCGCCCUGUAAUGCUUUACUUUAUUACUAAGCGGUAGCGAUAGUCGUAGAAGCAUAAGAUUGGCGAGACGACAAUGAUGCUACGAUGGAGAUCAAGGUGUCGCGCCGGUGACGAUGGUGAUCAUGACGGUGCUUCGGAGAUGGAGAUCACAAGCACAAGAUGAUGAUGGCCAUAUCAUAUCACUUAUAUUGAUUGCAUGUGAUGUUUAUCCUUUAUGCAUCUUAUUUUGCUUUGAUUGACGGUAGCAUUAUAAUAUGAUCUCUCACUAAUUAUCAAGAAGUAUUCUCCCUGAGUAUGCACCGUUGCGAAAGUUCUUCGUGCUGAGACACCACGUGAUGAUCGAGUGUGAUAGGCUCUACGUUCAAAUACAACGGGUGCAAAAUAGUUGCACACGCGGAAUACUCAGGUUAAACUUGACGAGCCUAGCAUAUAACAGAUAUGGCCUCGGAACACAGAGACCGAAAGGUCAAGCGUGAAUCAUAUAGUAGAUACGAUCAACAUAGUGAUGUUCACCAUUGAAACUACUCCAUCUCACGUGAUGAUCGUACAUGGUUUAGUUGAUUUGGAUCACGUGAUCACUUAGAGGAUAGGGAUGUCUAUCUAAGUGGGAGUUCUUAAGUAAUAUGAUUAACUGAACUUAAAUUUAUCAUGAACUUAGUACCUGAUAGUGUCUUGCUUGUCUAUGUUGAUUGUAGAUAGAUGCCCCGUGCUAUUGUUCCAUUGAAUUUUAAUGUGUUCCUUGAGAAAGCAAAGUUGAAAGAUGAUGGUAGCAAUUACACGGACUGGGUCCGUAACUUGAGGAUUAUCCUCAUUGCUGCACAGAAGAGUUACAUCCUGGAAGCACCGCUGGGUGCCAGACUUGAUGCAGAUGCUACUGAUGUCGUUAAGAACGUCUGGCAGAGCAAAGCUGAUGACUACUCUAUAGUUCAGUGUGCCAUGCUUUACGGCUUAGAACCGGGACUUCAACGACGUUUUGAACGUCAUGGAGCAUAUGAGAUGUUCCAGGAGUUGAAGUUAAUAUUUCAAGAAAAUGCCUGGAUUGAGAGAUAUGAAGUCUCCAAUAAGUUCUACAGCUGCAAGAUGGAGGAGAAUAGUUCUGUCAGUGAGCAUAUACUCAAGAUGUCUGGGUAUAAUAAUCACUUGAUUCAACUGGGAGUUAAUCUUCCGGAUGAUAGCGUCAUUGACAGAAUUCUCCAAUCACUACCACCAAGCUACAAGAGCCUCGUGAUGAACUAUAACAUGCAAGGGAUGGAUAAGACAAUUCCCAAGCUCUUCGCAAUGCUAAAGGCUGCGGAGGUAGAAAUCAAGAAGGAGCAUCAAGUGUUGAUGGUCAAUAAGACCACCAGUUUCAAGAAAAAGGGAAAAGGGAAGAAGAAGGGGAACUUCAAGAAGAACAGCAAGCAAGUUGCUGCUCAGGAGAAGAAACCCAAGUCUGGACCUAAGCCUGAGACUGAGUGCUUCUACUGCAAGCAGACUGGUCACUGGAAGCGGAACUGCCCCAAGUAUUUGGCGGAUAAGAAGGAUGGCAAGGUGAACAAAGGUAUAUGUGAUAUACAUGCUAUUGAUGUGUACCUUACUAAUGCUCGCAGUAGCACCUGGGUAUUUGAUACUGAUUCUGUUGCUAAUAUUUGCAACUCGAAACAGGGGCUACGGAUUAAGCGAAGAUUGGCUAAGGAUGAGGUGGCGAUGCGCGUAGGAAAUGGUUCCAAAGUCGAUGUGAUCGCGGUCGGCACGCUACCUCUACAUCUACCUUCGGGAUUAGUAUUAGACCUAAAUAAUUUUUAUUUGGUGCCAGCGUUGAGCAUGAACAUUAUAUCUGGAUCUUGUUUGAUGCGAGAUGGUUAUUCAUUUAAAUCAGAGAAUAAUGGUUGUUCUAUUUAUAUGAGUAAUAUCUUUUAUGGUCAUGCACCCUUGAAGAGUGGUCUAUUUUUAUUGAAUCUCGAUAGUAGUGAUACACAUAUUCAUAAUGUUGAAGCCAAAAGAUGCAAAGUUGAUAAUGAUAGUGCAACUUAUUUGUGGCACUGUUGUUUAGGUCAUAUCGGUGUAAAGCACAUGAAGAAACUCCAUACUGAUGAACUUUUGGAACCACUUGAUUAUGAAUCACUUCGUACUUGCGAACCGUGCCUCAUGGGCAAGAUGACUAAAACGCCGUUCUCCGGAACUAUGGAGAGAGCAACAAAUUUGUUGGAAAUCAUACAUACAGAUGUAUGUGAUCCGACGAAUGUUGAGGCUCGUGGCGGAUAUCGUUAUUUUCUCACCUUCACAGACGAUUUAAGCAGAUAUGGGUAUAUCUAGUUAAUGAAACAUAAGUCUGAAACUUUUGAAAAGUUCAAAAAAAUUCAGAGUGAAGUUGAAAAUCAUCGUAAGAAGAAAAUAAAGUUUCUACGAUCUGAUCGUGGAGGAGAAUAUUUGAGUUACGAGUUUGGUCUACAUUUGAAACAAUGCGGAAUAGUUUUGCAACUCACGCCACCUGGAACACCACAGCGUAAUGGUGUGUCCGAACGUCGUAAUCGUACUUUACUUGAUAUGGUGCGAUCUAUGAUGUCUCUUACUGAUUUACCGCUAUCAUUUUGGGGUUAUGCUUUAGAGAUGGCUGCAUUAACGUUAAAUAGGACACCAUCAAAAUCCGUUGAGAUGACGCCUUAUGAACUAUGGUUUGGCAAGAAACCAAAGUUGUCGUUUUUUAAAGUUUGGGGAUGCGAUGCUUAUGUGAAAAAGCUUCAACCUGAUAAGCUCGAACCCAAAUCGAGAAAUGUGUCUUCAUAGGAUACCCAAAGGAUACUGUUGGGUACACCUUCUAUCACAAAUCCGAAGGCAAGUGUUUUGUCGCUAAAUUCAGAGUUUUUCUAGAGAAGGAGUUUCUCUCGAAAGAAGUGAUUGGAGGAAAGUAGAACUUGAUGAGGUAACUGUACCUGCUCCCUUAUUGGAAAGUAGUUCAUCACAGAAACCGGUUCCUGUGACAUCUACAUCAAUUAGUGAGGAAGUUAAGGAUGAUGAUCAUGGAACUUCAGAUCAAGUUGUUACUGAACCUCGUAGGUCAAACAGAAUAAGAUCCGCACCAGAGUGAUACGGUAAUCCUGUUCUUGAGGUCAUGCUACUGGAUCAUGAUGAACCUACGAACUAUAAGAAGCGAUGGUGAGCCCAAAUUACGCAAAAUGGCUUGAGGCCAUGAAAUCUGAGAUGGGAUCCAUGUAUGAGAACAAAGUAUGGACUUUCGUUGACUUGCCCGAUGAUCAGCAAGCAAUUGAGAAUAAAUGGAUCUUCAAGAAGAAGACUGACGCUGAUGGUAAUUUUACUGUCUACAAAGCUCAACUUGUUACAAAAGGUUUUCGACAAGUUCAAGGGAUUGACUACGACGAGACCUUCUCACCUGUAGCGAUGCUUAAGUCUGUCCGAAUCAUGUUAGCAAUUGCCGCAUUUUAUGAUUAUGAAAUUUGGCAAAUGGAUGUCAAAACUGCAUUCCUGAAUGGAUUUCUGGAAGAAGAGUUGUAUAUGAUGCAACCGGAAGGUUUUGUCGAUCCAAAGGGAGAUAACAAAGUGUGCAAGCUCCAGCGAUCCAUUUAUGGACUGGUUCAAGCCUCUCGGAGUUGGAAUAAACACUUUGAUAGUGUGAUCAAAGCAUUUGGUUUUAUACAGACUUUUGGAGAAGCCUGUAUUUACAAGAAAGUGAAUGGGAGCUCUGUAGCAUCUCUGAUAUUAUAUGUGGAUGACAUAUUACUGAUUGGAAAUAAUAUAGAAUUUCUGGAUAGCAUAAAGGGAUACUUGAAUAAGAGUUUUUUAAUGAAAGACCUCGGUGAAGCUGCUUACAUAUUGGGCAUUAAGAUCUAUAGAGAUAGAUCGAGACGCUUAAUUGGACUUUCACAAAGCACAUACCUUGACAAAGUUUUGAAGAAGUUCAAAAUGGAUCAAGCAAAGAAAGGGUUCUUGCCUGUGUUACAAGGUGUGAAGUUGAGUAAGACUCAAUGCCCGACCACUGCAGAAGAUAGAGAGAAAAUGAAAGAUGUUCCCUAUGCUUCACCCAUAGGCUCUAUCAUGUAUGCAAUGCUGUGUACCAGACCUGAUGUGUGCUUUGCUAUAAGUCUAGUAGGGAGGUACCAAAGUAAUCCAGGAGUAGAUCACUGGACAACGGUCAAGAACAUCCUGAAAUACCUGAAAAUGACUAAGGAUAUGUUUCUCGUUUAUGGAGGUGACAAAGAGCUCAUCGUAAAUGGUUACGUUGAUGCAAGCUUUGACACUGAUCCGGACGAUUCUAAAUCGCAAACCAGAUACAUGUUUACAUUGAACGGUGGAGCUGUCAGUUGGUGCAGUUCUAAACAAAGCGUCAUGGCGGGAUCUACAUGUGAAGCGGAGUACAUAGCUGCUUCGGAAGCAGCAAAUGAAGGAGUCUGGAUGAAGGAGUUCAUAUCCGAUCUAGGUGUCAUACCUAGUGCAUCGGGUCCAAUGAAAAUAUUUUGUGACAAUACUGGAGCAAUUGCCUUGGCGAAGGAAUCCAGAUUUCACAAGAGAACCAAGCACAUCAAGAGACGCUUCAAUUCCAUCCAGGAUCUAGUCCAGGUGGGAGACAUAAAAAUUUGCAAGAUACAUACGGAUCUGAAUGUUGCAGACCCGUUGACUAAGCCUCUUCCACGAGCAAAACGUGAUCAGCACCAAGGCUCCAUGGGUGUUAGAAUCAUUACUGUGUAAUCUAGAUUAUUGACUCUAGUGCAAGUGGGAGACUGAAGGAAAUAUGCUCUAGAGGCAAUAAUAAAGUUAUUAUUUAUUUCCUUAUAUCAUGAUAAAUGUUUAUUAUUCAUGCUAGAAUUUUAUUAACCGGAAACAUAAUACAUGUGUGAAUACAUAGACAAACAGAUUGUCACUAGUAUGCCUCUACUUGACUAGCUCGUUGAUCAAAGAUGGUUAUGUUUCCUAGCCAUAGACAUGAGUUGUCAUUUGAUUAACGGGAUCACAUCAUUAGGAGAAUGAUGUGAUUGACAUGACCCGUUCCGUUAGCUUAGCACACGAUCGUUUAGUAUGUUGCUAUUGCUUUCUUCAUGACUUAUACAUGUUCCUAUGACUGAGAUUAUGCAACUCCCGUUUACCGGAGGAACACUUUGUGUGCUACCAAACGUCACAACGUAACUGGGUGAUUAUAAAGGUGCUCUACAGGUGUCUCCGAAGGUACAUGUUAGGUUGGCGUAUUUCGAGAUUAGGAUUUGUCACUCCGAUUGUCGAAGAGGUAUCUCUGGGCCCUCUCGGUAAUACACAUCACUUAAGCCUUGCAAGCAUUGCAACUAAUGAGUUAGUUGCAGGAUGAUGUAUUACGAAACGAGUAAAGAGACUUGCCGGUAAUGAGAAUGAACUAGGUAUUGAGAUACCGACGAUUGAAUCUCGGGCAAGUAACAUACCGAUGACAAAGGGAACAACGAUGUUGUUAUGCGGUCUGACCGAUAAAGAUCUUCGUAGAAUAUGUGGGAGCCAAUAUGAGCAUCCAGGUUCCGCUAUUGGUUAUUGACCAGAGACGUGUCUCGGUCAUGUCUACAUAGUUCUCGAACCCGUAGGGUCCGCACGCUUAACGUUACGAUGACAGUUAUAUUAUGAGUUUAUAUGUUUUGAUGUACCGAAGGUUGUUUGGAGUCCCGAAUGUGAUCACGUACAUGACGAGGAGUCUCAAAAUGGCCGAGACAUGAAGAUUGAUAUAUUGGAAGCCUAUGUUUGGAUAUCGGUAGUGUUCCGGGUGAAAUCGGGAUUUUACCGGAAUACCGGGAGGUUACCGGAACCCCCCGGGAACAUAAUGGGCCUUAUUGGGCCUAGGUGAAAGAGAGGAGAGGCGGCUAGGGCUGGGCCGUGUGCCCCUCCCCCCCAGUCCGAAUAGGACAAGGAGAGGGGGGCGGCGCCCCCCCCCUUCCUUCUUCUCCUCCACUCCUUCCCCCUCCCAAGUCCUAAUCCAACUAGGAAGGGGGGGGGGAGUCCUACUCUCGGUGGGAGUAGGACUCCUCCCGGCACGCCCUCUCCCUUGGCCGGCCGCACCCCCUUGCUCCUUUAUAUACGGUGGCAGGGGGGCACCCCAAAGAGACAACAAUUGAUCGUUUGAUCUUUUAGCCGUGUGUGGUGCCCCCUCCACCAUAGUCCACCUCGAUAAUACUGUAGCGGUGCUUAGGCGAAGCCCUGCGUCGGUAGAGCAUCAUCAUCGUCACCACACCGUCGUGCUGACGAAACUAUCCCUCAACACCCGGCUGGAUCGGAAUUCGAGGGAUGUCAUCGGCUGAACGUGUGCUGAACUCGGAGGUGCAGUACGUUCGGUACUUGAUCGGUCGGGUCGUGAAGACGUACGACUACAUCAACCGCGUUGUGCUAACGCUUCCGCUUACGGUCUACGAGGGUACGCAGACUACACUCUCCCCUCUCGUUGUUAUGCAUCACCAUGAUCUUGCGUGUGCGUAGGAUUUUUUUUGAAAUUACUACGUUCCCCAACACAGAGUGUAGAGCAGCGAGAAGGGCCGGGUCCCACGACGGCGGCACCUGAGGAGGGUAAAACCCUCCGUAGGCGGGCGCAGGAGCUGCAUCGAAGGCCAACGCAGCAGCAGCGCCGUAGGCGGGCGCGGCCUGAUGUCUACUACGCAACCUUCUUCUUGUAGACGUUGUUGGGCCUCCAAGUGCAGAGGUUUAUAGGACAGUAGCAAAUUUCCCUCAAGUGGAUGACCUAAGGUUUAUCAGUCCAUGGGAGGCGUAGGAUAAAGAUGGUCUCUCUCAAACAACCCUGCAACCAAAUAACAAAGAGUCUCUUGUGUCCCCAACACACCCGAUACAAUGGAAAUUGUAUAGGUGCACUAGUUUGGCGAAGAGAUGGUGAUACAAGUGCAAUAUGGAUGGUAGAUAUAGGUAUUUGUAAUCUGAAAAUAUAAAAAAAGCAAGGUAACUAAUGAUAAAAGUGAGCGCAAACGGCAUUGCAAUGCUAGGAAACAAGGCCUAAGGUUCAUACUUUCACUAGUGCAAGUUCUCUCAAGAAUAAUAACAUAAUUGGAUCAUAUAACUAUCCCUCAACAUGCAAAAACGAGUCACUCCAAAGUCACUAAUAGCAUAGAACAAACGAAGAGAUUAUUGUAGGGUACGAAACCACCUCAAAGUUAUCCUUUCUGAUCAAUCUAUUCAAGAGUCUGUAGUAAAAUAACACGAAGCUAUUCUUUCCGUUCAAUCUAUCAUAGAGUUCGUACUAGAAUAACACCUUAAGACACAAAUCAACCAAAACCCUAAUGUCACCUAGAUACUCCAAUGUCACCUCAAGUAUCUGUGGGUAUGAUUAUACGAUAUGCAUCACACAAUCUCAGAUUCAUCUAUUCAACCAACACAAAGAACUUCAAAGAGUGCCCCAAAGUUUCUACCGGAGAGUCAAGACGAAAACGUGUGCCAACCCCUAUGCAUAAGUUCACAAGGUCACUGAACCCGCAAGUUGAUCACCAAAACAUACAUCAAGUGGAUCACGUGAUAUCCCAUUGUCACCACAGAUAAGCACAUGCAAGACAUACAUCAAGUGUUCUCAAAUCCUUAAAGACUCAAUCCAAUAAGAUAACUUCAAAGGGAAAACUCAAUCCCUUACAAGAGAGUAGAGGGGGAGAAACAUCAUAAGAUCCAACUAUAAUAGCAAAGCUUGCGAUACAUCAAGAUCAUGCCAAAUCAAGAACACGAGAGGGAGAGAGAGAGAGAGAAAGAGAUCAAACACAUAGCUACUGGUACAUACCCUCAGCCCCGAGUGUGAACUACUCCCUCCUCGUCAUGGAGAGCGUCGGGAUGAUGAAGAUGGCCACCAGUGAGGGAUCCCCCCUCCGGCAGGGUGCCGGAACAGGGUCCCGAUUGGUUUUUGGUGGCUACAGAGGCUUGUGGCGGCGAAACUCUCGAUCUAGGUUAUUUUCUGGAGGUUUCAGUAUUUAUAGGAAUUUUUGGCGUAGGUCUCACGUCAGGGGGUCUCCGGGCUGUCCACGAGGCAGGGGGCGCGCCCCCCACCCUCGUGGGCAGCCCGUCACUCUUCUGACCCAACUCUUGCACUCCAGGGGCUUCUUUUGGUCCAUAAAAAUUCAUCAAAAAUUGGCACGUCAAUUGGACUCCGUUUGGUAUUCCUUUUUUGUAAAACUCAAAAACAAGGAAAAAAAUAGAAACUGGCACUGGGCUUUAGGUUAAUAGGUUAGUCCAAAAAAUCAUAUAAAAUAGCAUAUAAAUGCAUAUAAAACAUCUACGAUGGAUAAUAUAAUAGCAUGAAUACUUCAUAAAUUAUAGAUACGUUGGAGAAGUAUCACGACCCCGUAGGCCGGCGUGGCCUCGUAGGAGGGCGUAGGCGGGGGGCAGCACCGUAGCCGCUGUAGGGAGCGGCAUUCUGCGUGGCGAAGAGAGCCUAGUGGCUUGCCGGACGAGGCCCAAGGAUGCCUGGAGCAGGAGUCCGGGGGACCGACAUCGAGUACGCGCGGACGACGCCGGUCCACGGGUUGAUGACAUACGUCCAUGGAGGAGUCACCUGCUGCUGCUGCUGCUGACGAGCCCCCCCUCGCGCCUGUUGCUGCUUGCGGCCGCCCCCGCGGCGGUUGCCGCGGUGUCCGCCACCCGGCUGCUGGGGGGCAGCGGGAGGGGCGGGAGGCACAGGCGGGAGGAGAAAGUACCCCGGAGGCGCGGGGGGCAGCGGCUGCUGGCGCGGCGUGGGUGGGGCUGCCGGUGGAGGGGCGCCACGUGAGGUGCCGGCGGCGAGGGCGUGAUGCUGCACACGUUUCUUGACCCCCUUCAUCCGGCACUCCUCCAACUGCAAGUACGCCACAAACUUGGGGAAGGAGGGCUCCGGCAUCAAGGUGAGGUUGGAGGCGGCGUUGCCGAAGUCCUCGUUGAGACCGGCGGUGAGCAUGCUGAGGAGGAGGUCGUCAUCCACCUUGGUUCCAAUGUCGCGGAUCUCAUCCGCCAAUGUCUUCAGGCGGCGGCAGUAGUCAUCAAUGGACUGGUCAUCCUUGUGAUAGUCAAAAAAUUCCUGCCGCAAAAAAAUGCGGCGCUGAAGCUUGUUGUCGGUGAAGAGGCCGUUCAGUUUGACCCACAUGGCGCGGGCGUCGUCGCCGGCGCUCACGACCGUGUGGAACAAGUCCUUGGAGAUGGUGGUGAAGAACCACCGGAUGAUCGUGGCGUCGAUCGCGGUCCACUCGGCGUCGUCCACCAUGGCACGGGAGUCAAUGGUGCCAUCCACAUGAUCCACGAGGUUGUUCUCGCGGAAGAGCAGCGAGAAGUACGUCUUCCACGCGAAGUACGUGGAGUUGGAGGCGUCGAGAACCACGGGGACGCGUGCGUGGACGUUGAUGUCGCGGAUCUCAGCAGGGUCGACGGCGAAGGGGUUGGAGUAGGUGGAGGCGUUGGACGACAUGGCUGCGAUGGCGUAGGGAAGGAGGCGGCGCAACUGAGGGGGAGCGGCGCGGCGGUGGGAGGUGGCGGCGCGGCAGGAGGGCGGCUCGGCGGGGAGGAGAGGGCGCGCGGGGAGGCGCGCGUGGGGGUGGCGGCGGCGGCGGCGGCCCGAGGCAGCGGCUAGGGUUUGCGGAAGCGGUAGGAUCGACUUGCGAUAGAUACCGUGUAGAGAAUGAUUUGGUGCAUCGAUAAUUGAUUGAUCAUGCACUAGGCACAUAUAUAUAGGUACAAGGGGUGCAACCGAUAUCUUGUCUCCUAAGAUACACAUAUAUACAGAGAAAGGCAGACACUAUAGGUACUGCGUACAAAACCCAAACCUACAUACAUGUACACAUGUUCAACAUGUUGUAUUAAAACAUCAUUUUUUUAAGAGGAGUCCGAAUACCAAAUUUGCAUGCCAUCCUUGGACUAGUUCGUAGGGUAGGAAAAAGUAGUCCCAUUCUCAACAUCAUAGAGAAAGUAAUGGAACAUCGACCUAAACUAACCCGCAUGUGACUAACACAUUACACAUACACACGUAACAGUAACCUACUGUUCUAUUUGUUUACCUGAAAAAUUCUGUUCUUUGUCUUGUAAUCGACAUGUUUAUCAUAUAUGUCCAAUCGAUUCAGGAACUAUUUAUUCAACAUAGGAAAAUUAGUUCCUUGCUUUGGCUUGUUUUCAAGAAAGAGCAAACAGAAUUUACUCACCGAAUACUGAACUGGACUACAUGCAUAGUUUGUUUUUACAGAGUAUCCAUCUAUCGGAAUACAUGAUUCGGCAUAACAGUAGGAAUAGAAUUUGAUCGCUGAAAAAGAGACCAAUUUGAUCAAUCAGAAUAUCCAUUCAAUUGAAUAUUCCUACAAUUAUUUACAUAGAUAAUAAACCAGUCACAUUGUUUUUGUUAAUAAAUAACUCAUGUAGUUGUCUUGUGGCCAUCUUGUUUUUUCAACCCUCUUUCAAAAAUAAAACACAUUAUUUUCUCUACAAGGUUGCAUAAUACAUUAUUUUCUAAUAUGGUAUAAUUCGAGAGGACAUGAUAUAAUUUGCUAAUGCCCCUAACGGUCACACACAUUGGAGCUGUGUAUUCAUUCAUCUGGCGUGCCAGCCUACCAAAUUGGUCAUUUUUCCAAUUUGAAAUAAAAAGGCAAAAGAUGUUGUAAUGUCAAUGUUUUUAAAGGAACACCCAAAAGGGCAUCUUAGACCUUACUAAUAUAAAAAAAAGUACAAAGGAUAGACAACUGGACACAUGAUGGUCAGUAAAAGAAAUGAAAUUACAUUGAAAAUCAUUCUAGCUUUCUUCUUCCUCAGAUUAUAUGCCGCCCACGAGAGGAAAAUUGCACUGAACCAACAGUAAAUAAAAUAGACACCAAAUGCCCUUGCCAUAUCAAACUUUCAAAACCACAAUAGCCACCUGACACUUGAUACGAGAUCUUGAAAUCGAUGAAGCAACAUCAAUCGGGACAUCACCCAAUGUAGUACAGGCUUGCAAUCCAUCAAUCACCACUAGUUUAGAUGGUUGGAGAAACUGAACUGUGCCAGAAGAACAAUACAGAAGAUGAUGUCAAAGUCACCACACCGGUAUCCAGCCAAUAGCUCUCCUUGAAAGCACACCAAUUGGCAAGAUCUGAAUGGACCAACUGAUCUAGGGACAAAAACUCUCACAUGCCCUUCGUUAGCAUCGGAUCGUGGUAGGGAAAGACCAGAGAGACCUUAUUUUAACACGGCAUUGCCGCCGCCACCUCAUGGGUGUUGCCAGGAAGAAAAACUUAAGGGAAAUAAAAUGAGACGGACGGGUACACCCCCUCCUCUUGUCGCCGACGAACCGACAAAAUGGGAAGAGGAGGGGGCGAGACGGCAACACUAGGAAAGUUGUGAUGGCGGCUAGGGUUGGGAGUCUUUUCGUGCGUCUCUGGUUUGGUGAUCUCCACUCAAUGUUUGAAAUAUGAAGUAAAAUAUGGCAUUAGUUUUUAGAUAAAUUAAGACCUACCACAAUAUUAUAAAUAAGGAGUAACAAAGUGAAAAUUACUCUAAAUAUAUCAGCUAUGUUAAGUUGUGAUCCAAUUUCAUAUAAAGUAUAAACGCUAACUUCUGACUACACUCCACUACGGCUAUCGACCUAGGUCACUACUUCUUAUAUCCAUUGUAAGCUGCCGCACAGUACAAGUUGACCAGUUGUAAAUCCCCGACAUUUGUAACCUUUUCCGAUAGGGCAGCACUCUGCGCUGGCGCACCGGCCCGAUUUUUCGGCCGGUCAGCCCAGAUCCGUCCGAUUUGCACGCGCGCAACCGUCAGAUCUCUCCCCCUCCUCCCCCGCACCCCAUCUUCAACCUCCCGCACGGAAGAAAAAGGGAGAGGGAGGACCGAAGGAGGGUGCCGCCCCCGCACACGCCGCCCCCUCGCCACGCCUCGCCUCCUCAUCUCCUCCCACUGCCGGUUGUCCCUGGUCGCCGAUCCUCGCCGUCGGUCACCGACGAGCUCCAUGCCUCGUUCACAAAAAAGAGCUCCCGUGCCUGCAGCACCUCGAUGCGCUCGUUCAUGGAUGUAGCAAAACAAAACGUUAGUCGUAGCAAAAAAGCACGACGGAGAUGCAGCAAAACAUUGUCGUCUCCGUCAUCGUGGGUCGCGACUCCGCCAUGUCGCAUGUAGCAAAAUUUCUCGCCGAUGGUAGCAAAAUGAAAAUACGGUGAUAGCAAAAAUUGCUCUUGCCCAACAAAUCAAAAGAUGAUAGUAGCAAAAAAUGUGUCUGGUUGCACCAAAAAAGACACUGGUUCCAGCAAAAAUAGAAAGGGAUGACAAAAACACACUAACAUGCACCGCAGUCACCGUGGUCACCAUAGUCACCACUGAGGCAGGAAAAAGCCGUUUCCAGCAAAAUGUGACAACGGUUCCAGCAAAAUGCCAUGCUGGUUGCAGCGUUGCAUUGAUCUUGCAGCAAACAUGGGCUCCCGUUCCAGCAAAACACGACGCCGGUUCCAGCAAAUCGUAAUGACGGUUGCAACAUUGUCGUGGCGUCCCCGCCGUUCUCCACCGUCGCACCACCGCGGCUCGUGGUAGCUCUUCCGAAUGCUGGUUCUGGUUCCAGCACUUCGUGCGGUCGGCUGCAACAAUAAUUGGCUCGCCGUCCGUCGUUCAGCUCCAGCGACGCGUCGCUCGUCGUGCCAUGGCCGUGUGCCGUUGCAGCUCCACCCCGCCCCUUAUGAAGAUCUUGGUGGUUGCAAAUUCGUCGGCUGUGGUUUGCAUGCCGCGUGGAGGAAGGAGGUGUGGAUCUCGCCGGCGCACGCUCCGCCUCGUAUCUCCGGCCACCUCUGGUAGCAGCUCGCCGACGCAUAGUCGACGGGAGCCGCGGUGCGCGCUCAGACGACGGGGGAGCGAGAGAAGCGGAAGAGGAAGGCAACCAUAUCGAAGGGAUAAGGUGGGGUCACGGUCUAUUCUGGCCACAUGAUGCCUCCCGAUCGAACGUCCCGCGCGCGACCGGCCCAAUGUUCGGCCGACGCGCCGGGUAUAAACGUUUCCCUUUCCGAUAUAACGGCGUUUUGUUGGCUGGUGCCUAUGGUUUUUCCUCUUGGAGGGGUUUUCCACAUUAAAAUCUUGUGUCUCCCCGUGUUUGAUUUGAUCUUCUUUGUUUUCUUGCAUGUCGUAUCUCUAGCAAGCUGAAUACAGAGUGGUGUGGCGUGCGGUGUGACAUGGUGGUUAGCUAGCCCCAUUCGUAGACCUGAUAUGGAGCAAUGACUUGUUGGGAGUAAGGGAUCAUACGGGGCAGUUAGCUACUGAACACCCCAGUUAGCCAAGAAAGGGAUAUGUUUUUGAUAGGGAGAUGAGGACGAGGAGAAGACAAGGAUGAGAUGAGUGGUGCUACUAAUUACUUAAUUAGUGACUUAUUGUUUGCCUGCUGGAUUAAUUUUAAUCAAGUAGGAGUAUACAAUAUUGCAUGUCUUGGUGGAUAUAUCACUGUAGUUGGGCAUGAGGUUAACCAGUAAAUUAAACCACUUGUAGACAAGAAAGGGUGACUAAUCUACUUCUUGACAAAACAACUGAUGUGAGCCAUUUAUUGUCAAAGAGAGUUGAUAAGAACCCAACCAAGAGAUUGCAGGCUGAAAUAAAUAAACUAGAGCGCGAGGAUGGGGUUUAGAGUUGCCAAGUAGUCAUUUUUUUUUACGAAACUAAGGAACCGUGUCUAAUCCUAAUACAAUAGCACCUACAUCCAACAUCACUACAUUAUCUCAUAAUCAACAUCAAUGAUCGCCACCGCCAUAGAAUAACUCAUGCGACUAGUUGUUCAUGUGGCCGACUCUCCUACAAAGCAUUGUCUCGCCAUGUGAAACAAUGACAGGCCGGUGGACCCCCAAAUCCAGAAAACUGCAAUCCAUAAGAGAACCCAAAAAAAAAACAUGGGAGGUGCCAAUGCGCCAGGCUACCUCCUCACAAACGAUAUUG
rnacentral:lncRNA from 1 species